rnacentral:lncRNA from 1 species
UAAGAGUGUUCUUUUAACCUUUACAACUGUUCUUUUAUGGCAUAAAAGUGUUUUAUUCUACUAUGACGAAAGAGUGUUGACAACCAUAAAGCUAAUAGAGUGUUCUUUUAACCUUUACAACUGUUCUAUUAUACAAUAAAAAUGUUCUAUUCUACUAUGACAAAAAAUUGUUCACAACCAUAAAGCUAUUAAAAAUGUUCUAUUCACCUUUACAACUGUUCUAUUAAGCCUUAAGAGUGUUCUAUUCUACUAUGACAAAGGAGUGUUGACAAUCAUAAAGCUAGCUAUUAAGAGUGUUCUAUUUAACAUUUACAACUGUUCUAUUAUGGCAUAAAACUGUUAUAAAGCCUAAAACUGAUAGCACACUUCCAUUAAGCUUUAAGAAUGUUUUAUUAAGUCAUAAGAGGUUAAGAUUGGAAUGCAUACAUAUUCGCAACUGCAAAUCUGAUAAAAGUAUUCUAUUAUGCUCUAAGAGUGUUCUAUUCUACUAUGACAAAAGCGGGUAAGAUUGAAGCCUUAAAACCAUGAUAUAGCAACAUAAUUGGAAGUUCAGAAGAUCUCCCAGAUUUCUCAAUUAAUCAGUAAUGUUGAUCUCCAAAGUAUAGAUUUUUGAACUCCCAUACAUCUCAAUUAAUCAGUCAAUUGAUCUCCGAAGUAUAGAAACAUGAAAAACUCAAAAAUGCACGUGUACGUGAAUUCAAUUCAAAAAGAAACAAUCCACAAUGCUCAUAUUCUUUCUUCUUCUUCUUUUUUUCUUUGCUACGUUUUGUACAUCCCAAACUGUCAUUCCAAAUGUAUACCACAUAAAUUGGAAACUACCGAUAAAUAUAAGAAAUUUAAGAACGAUAUCUACAAAUCAAGGUUUCAGUAUUCUAUUAUGCUCUAAGAGUGUUCUAUUCUACCCAUACACCCCAUAUUGAGUUGUUCUAUUAUGCUUUACAAUUAUUCUAUUAUGCCAUAAAUCUGUUAUAAAGUCUACAACUGAUAGCAGUGUUAUGUGAAACUUUAAGAAUGUUCUAUUAAGUCAUAAGUGGGUAAGAUUACAAAUGCAUACAUGUUCGCAACUAUAAACCUGAUAAAAAUAUUCUAUUAAGUCCUAGAAGUGUUCUACUAUGACAAAAGCGUGUUCACAACCAUAAAGCUAAUAAUAGUGUUCUAUUAAGCUGUAAGAGUGUUCUUUAUUGCCAUAAGAGUGUCAGAUUGUCAAGCAUAUAUGUUUCCAAACACAAAUCCUAUAAAAGUGUUCUACUAAGAGUGUUCUUAUAAGUUCUAAGACUAAACCCUUUAUGGCAUAAAAGUGACAAAUUGUAAUGCAUACAUAAUUCUAGCCAACAAUACAUAUAUGAAUACAAACAAAUUAAUUUUCAAUACAAGUAUACAUAAAAAUCAUAAAUGCUUUAUUUUUACAAAUACAACAAAUAAUGUAAUAUACCAGCUGAGUAAUCCCUAAAUAAAAUGAAUCAGCUAGUCGGUGAGCAAAUCCGCAGCACGCAAAGAAGAACCCUAGCUGCAACCCUAAACCCUCAAAAUAUAAAUUCUAUAUUAAAUUUAAAAUUAGAAAUAAAAGAUUAUAGAAAUUCAAAAAUAUCCUCUGUUUGAGUAGAAUCCUCUGUUCGGUUGUGGCAGAAUUAGCUCCGAAAUCGUUCCUAAUUUCGGACGCUCACGACUGAAGGAAUGCGUCACAGGUAUUGGGAUGGACAGGGGAGCAGUUGAGAGGCGACCUCCUACCAAUGGAGAAAUGCGAGGCCGAGAGACACCUUCGAGACGACUUCGGACACGAGAUGUGUGGAACAAGCGCUGCCGAACUUCUGCUCGAUGGAGUGGAGUGCCCUGCGAGCGAGAGCGAGAGCGAGAGGAAGAGAAAGGGGAGAGCGCGAGAUGACGAGAGAGGUGACGAGAGAGGCGCGAGAUCAAGAGAGAGGCGAGGGAACGAGCGGGACCGAGGGAGCGAGCGGGACCGAGAAGGAGGUGUAGGGGAGAGAGAGAGAGAUAUGUAGUAGGGUUUAGCUUUAGGAAGAAAAAAUAAAAAGGGGAGUGAAGUUAGCUGCUACUGUGCUAGUGAUCUAAUAAUAGCCGUUGGAUCAUACGGGUGUAGGAUAUACACCUUCCUAUAGGAGUACAGGUAGACUUUUCCAACUUUUAAUGAGAAUUGAGUCCCUAAACUUCAAAAAAUUAUUCUAGUUCUAGUCUCUUUUAAUUAAAAUUUGCCCCUAGUUUAUUUGUUUGACUAUAUUCCACCAAUUUAUCCUAUUAUUUAUAUCCAUGGUCUGUCUGCCCUAGUUCCAGUUCUCCACAAUUGAUUUUGGAUAAAACUUGUAAAAAGUUUGGCUCAUUCUAAUUAAAAAAAUAAGUUUUAUAAAAUAAUUAUGUAAAACUGUUUAACAAUUUUUUUUUACUCUUGGUAAAUCAUUAUUUUUUACUAACUUUUAUUUCAAAUUUUAAAAUUUAAAAUUUAAAAAUUAAAACAUAAAACUCAAAAAUUAAAAUUUUAAAUCUUAGACAUGAACUUAAAUUUAAAAUUUUAAUCCAUUAAUAUUUAAAUUUAAAUUUUGAUUCUAAAAUCGAAAUCAACUGCUUAUGAUUUUGGGUCCUUCCUAUAAAUUGGAGAAUUAAUUCUAAAAAUAAAAAUUAGAAUUAGAGUUUAAAAAUGAAAUUACCAAAUGCUAUAUAUAUAAAGAGAGAGAGAAAGAGAGACUAGUCCGGCAACUAUACUAUCGAUAAUACCAAGCUCUUGGUACUAUCGAUUUUUUUUUUUGCCGUUAGAUCUUUUCAUCAUUUUCACCCGUUAGAUUAUACUAUUCAACCAACCAUUGGGGGACCACUAUCAUCCUAACCGCAUAUUCUUUCAUCGAACAGCCGAAAACUUGAUAGCACCAAGUGCUUGGCACUAUUGAUAUUAUAGUAUAUAUAUAUAUAUAUAUAUAUAUAUAUAUAUAUAUAUAUAUAUAUAUAUAUAUAUAUAAUUGUAUCGUUAUAUAUAGAAUUAUGUUAUUGUACUAUUAAUAGUGUCACGCCCCGAGCCCCGCCUAUUUGGUCGGGUUCGGGCACGCUGACAGAUCACUGAACAGACAGAGUUUUUCCUGUAUGUCCUAGGCGUCACAAUCAAUACAAUAUAAAGGUUACAACCAGGAACAGUAUUCAACAUACAGAUUGCAUAAGGAAGUAUCAAAAACAUAAACAGCUAAACUAUUACAAACAUUCACAUACAUGCUUUUACAUCUCAAUUAUAUAUUACAUUAAACUUCCAAAUACAAUCUAAGCUAUUACAACUUUUGCUUGUUACAAGUUUGAUACAUUUGUUCUUUUCAUCUUUACACCCCUAGGAUAUGCCGACUCGGGGUACUUAUAUUUCUGGUGUCUGGGGUAGGGCGCUACCUACGGAGCUAUGCCCUUGCCUCGCGCCGCCGCGCCGCUCACGUGCGAACCUGUAACACCCUAAAGCAACGUGGGGAGAGAACCAACUCCAUGGUUCCCAGUAAGUACGGCCACCCAAAGGAAAAGCUCGACCAACAGGUCCAAAGAAGGCAACAAUAGGUUAGUUCAAUAAACAGAUAGAUAUAUAUAUCUUGAUUAUGCAACUAAAAAAUCAUGCUUUGCCUCACAAUUGUAACAAUGCCAUGCUAUAUGCAACAUUCAUGCAAUAAUGCAACUACACAAGUAGAUUUAUCGACUCUACUUCUAUCUCGUUAUCUAGCUCAUAUCCAACUAGCUUCUAAGGUUUCUAUUACCUUAGACCCAUGCUAUGUACCACUAGCCCUUAAGGUUCCGUCUACCUUAUUCAAGCUAGCCACCCGACUCGGUCUCGAGUCAAUCAACUGCGGAUAAUCUGAGCUCUGUACGGCUCGAGGUGAAUGAACACUCGCAUACACCUCAGCCUUCAAUCCACAAUCCAAGUCACCGACGGGUCGCCCAGAGCUGCGUACACCCAUGGUCAGGGAUCUUUCCGGUGGGAAGGCAACAUGCCACACACAACACGCGGCACAAGACCCCCGAUAGGGAGGGGAACAUGCCAUACACACCCUAGCGAAGCACGAUUCUGCUGGCGGGAGGGGAACCUACCACACUCAACCCGCGGCCUCGAAUCAAUCAACAACUCAUCCUGGAAGUUCGUCCAGUGGGAGGGGAACAUGCCAUACUCAACCCACUACUCUAGAACUAUCGAGUUCACAAUCCUAGGAUUCCGGAAUCCACUUUCCAAGCCUCUAGGGUAGUCUCAACCCUAUAACAUCGACCUAUCUAGGUCCAACAUCAUGUCCACCCUAGGUCCAAUAGACUCUAAGUUCAACAUCUAUAUCACAUAACCUAGGUUCACGACACUAGGUUAAUGCCACUCACCUAGAUCUAAUUGACUCUAGGUUCAUUUUUAACAUAUGUUCAAUAACACUAGGUUCUAUGUCAUUCUUAUCCAUCCUAGGUUCACGACACUAGGUUCAUAUCCGACCUAUGUUUAACAACACUAGGUUCAUGCCACUCGAUCUAUUCGACGUCCUAAGUGUCCACAUCGAGUUCCAUAGCCAUGCCUGUUCAUAAUGCUAACAUGCAUCUCAUCUAACAUAACAACUAUAUAUUAACUAGUGUAGAGACCCGCGCGAUACAACGGAUAGAUAAUAUAAGCAAAAUUUAAAAAUUUUAAUAAAAUUUAUAUUUACGGGUUAUUGAUAUAUAGAAAACUAUACCAUGUUAAGUACAACCAAUUUGCAUGACUAAAUUUAACUAUUAAAAAAAUAAAUUAUAGCUAGAAUCCACUCAUUGAUAAAAUAUUAAUAUGGUGCAUGUAAUUAAUUGUUGCACCUUACAUGUAACAUUGGCCCCGCCGGGCUCAGUUUGGGUUUUUUAGUCUCGUUCCCUUAGAGGAGUGGGAAGGUGAAGGGUUGGGCGUUGAGAAGAGGAGAAGGUGGGGGUGGCAAAUUAAUGGAGAAAGAAGUUGAUUAAAGUUAUAAAGCCCACUCAUUCAUAGAAUAUUAAUAUGGUGCAUAUAAUUAAAUGUGGCACCUUGCAUGUAAUUGGAGAAGUGGAGAGUGAAAGGUAACAUGCCACGUGGCAAAAAAUAAAUAUUGUGGCUUCAUAAUAUGCAUGCUCUCUAUCAUGAUCUCAUGAUGCUAAUAUGCACCUAGCAUAUAAUCCACAAUGCAUAUAUUCUCUAAACCAAGUAAUUAGGUUUACAUGCAUACAUUUCUAUCUAGUAUAGUUACCAUGCCAUCACGAUGCUAACAUGCAUACAGCAUACAUUUUCCAACAUUAUCUCAUAUAUAUAUAUAUAUAUAUAUAUAUAUAUAUAUGCAUCAACAAGAACUUAUACUCCACUUUGACAUGGAGGCGACCUAGUCGCUUCGGUAAGUACAACCCACCUGUUAUCAUGUUUCGAUUGCUUGUAGUCACUUGCAAUCGGUCGUCCGCGGCACCCGCCACCCUGUUCGGCUCGAACUCGCACUCGGUCACCGAACGACCACCAAUCCGCAAUCUGGAGAUUUAAGGUCUAUAGCUAGCCGCCACGGUGCUCCGGAUUUGUUCUCGUAAUUUUUGGACGUCGCCUCGGCCUUCCAAGCGGAAACAAAGCUCUAACAGUCAUUUUUCCCCAUAACUUCACGUAGGCUCGACGAAUCACCGAACCGACUUCGCCAACGCGUUCGUAUACCUAGCAAUUAGGUUUACGUAAGGUUAAUUUAGAUCAAACCCCCAUAUAAAGCAAAACCCCCAUUAUGAACCCUAGAUGCUCACUGUUGCAAAAAUCCACCAUUUGGACUCUAAAUUUAAGCAAUUAACAUCUAUUUAACAUCCUAGGAUUCAUCUAAAUCCAUUUAUAGGGUAUACAAACCAUUCUCUAGCAAUCUACCAUUAUUGGACAAUAAGCUUACCUCAAUAAGCUAGCUUCAACCGAAGGAAGAAGAUGGAGAAGGUGAAGCUUCACUUCCUUUGCUUCUUCUCCACCAAUCCCUCUCCUCCUUUCCUUCCUUGAUGAGAAAGAGAAAGAGGGUUUAGAGAGAGAGCUUGAGAGAGAGAGAGAGAGAGAGAGAGAGGUUUUUGGGUUGGGUUGGAAAGAAACAAAAGGAAGAGAGAGAGAGGAAACCCUCUCUUUUAAUCCCAUUCAGCAUAAUAUGCUGAAAACCCCUCAACUCUCCCCUUCAUGCACUGCCUAAACUGGGCGUUUUUCGCUCUCGGGGUCCGGACCUUGGAGUCAGGGUCCGGACCCCGUAGGUCCCGAAAAACUGCAAAUUUCAGCUUUCGCCGAUUUUGCUCUGUUUUGGUCCAUUUUCGCUUCGUGGGUCUCCGAUUCACUUCUAAUCAUACCGAGACCCCCAAAACAUAUUUUUGAGCGUAAUUACAUCAUCUUUUUAUCCACGCUAAUGACGAAUUUAGUUCACGUUCCAACAUAGCCCUUUGGGUUCCGUUUUCGUGCCCGGCGCGCACCGAAACUCCCGAAUGCUCCCAACUUCACCGGAACUUCAACGGAACCAUUCAAAUGGCUCUCCAACCGAAUGUACACCGUAACUUCAUAACUUUAGAAGUCCGGUACCUUACAAAUAGUGCCAAGUGCUUGGUGCUAUUGAGUUUUCGGCCAUUGGAUGAAAAAAUAUGCGGUUAGGAUGAUAGUGGUCCCCGGUUAGGUGAUAAUAGUCCCUUAGGGUUGAGUGGAUGGUUGGUUGAAUAGUAUAAUCUAACGGCUGGAAAUGAUCUACCCGUAGAAAAUUCGAUAAUGUCAAGAGAUUGAUAAUAUCAAUAGUAUAGUAGUCGGUCUCUCUCUCUCUCUCUCUCUCUCUCUCUCUCUUUCAUUCUCUCAUUCUCUCUCUCUCUAUAUAUAUAGAAUUAGGCUACUAUACUAUCUAUAGUACCAGAGCUCCGGUACUAUAGUCUUGUUUUCGAUCUUAGGGUGUUUAAAUUAACGAUCCACACCGUUAAAUAUGAUUUAGGGUAUAUAAAGUUCUUAGGAAUAAAAUUUUAGUUUUUUUCGACAUCGUUUACUUAGUAAAUAAAUUAUGUCAAAAUGGACGGUGGAAAUUGAAUAAUCUUUAAAAUUUGAGCAUAGGACUUUUAAAUUCAAGAUCAAGAAUGUUAACCUUAAUCUAGAUAGUUUAAAGUAUUUUCUAUCAAAAUUUGAAGAAAUUUAAAUUCUUCUACACCGUUAAACUCCAAACUCGCCAUAGUAGCCAUUGAAAAUUAACAAUUUUGAAAUGAUUUGAUCAUAAAGUAAACUAUAUUGAAAAAAUAUAAAAUUUUAUUUCUAAAAACUUUAAAUACCCUAGAUCAGUCUUAACGGUGUGGAUCGUUGAUUUGAACACCCUAAGAUCGAAAACGAGAUUGUAGUACCGGAGCCCCGAGACUAUUGAUAGUAUAGAAGACUAGCUCUAUAUAUAUAUAUAUAUAUGGUUAAUUUCUUACAGGUCCCCACAAAUAUGGUGAAUAGCAGAUAUACCCCUGCAAAGUUCAACUUUCAUAAGUUAUCCCUGCAAAAGUUCUAAUGUAUUCAAAUAUGUCCUUCUGGUUAGAAUCUGUUAGAAAAUUGUUAAUUUUUCAACAGUAGAAUUGUGAAAUAACAAUUUUGCCCUUGCCCUCUUCCUCUUUCUCUUCCUCUUCAGGUUGUGGGAGCAGAAGGCGGCGACGGCGACGGUGACGGCGACGGCGACGGUGACCUUGAGGAGCUUGUAGGGGCUGCGGCCAACGAGGACGAGGAAGAGGCGGAAGGCGAAGGCUCGGUCGAUGCCGUUGGAGGCGCCCAUGACGACGGCCCACGCGGGCACCACGAUAGCAACGACGAUCGAAUCAUCGACGAUGACGAAGAAGAAGAAAAAGAAAAAGAAGAAGAAGGAGGAGAAAAUGAGGAAGAAAAUGAGGAUACGAAGAAGAAGAGGAAGAAGAAGAAGUAGGAGAGGAAGAGGAAGAGGAAGAGGAAGAAGAAGAAGAGGAAGAAGAGGAGGAGGGGGAAGAGAAAGAAGGGUAAACAUAUCAUUUUACCUUUUUAACUGACCAUGGUUAAGUAUUUUAACUAUGGUUAACUAGAUUUCUCUAACGGAUAUUAACAGCAGGGACAUAUCUGAAUACGUUAGGACUUUACAGGGAUAACGUAUAAAAGUUGAACUUUGUAGGGAGAUAUCUGCUAUUCACCAUGUUUGCAGGGAUCUGUAUGAAAUUAACCCAUAUAUAUAUAGUAGGACUUGUGUGCUAUUAGGAGUACGGAGGCCUCCGUGCUCCUAAGUCGUUUUCGAUGAGAGGACUUUCGAAUUGACGAUCGGCUCCGCUAGACUUGAUCUAAUGUAUUUGAACUAUCUAUAAAAUAAUUUCUGCAAAUUUUCGAUAUCAUUUACCUAGUGAUCGAAAAGAUUCAAAAUCAACAAUUUUUAAUGGUUGAUAUAUGCCAUUUGCAAGUUUAACGGUGUAGAAGUAUUCAAAUAAAAUUAUCUUUUAGCGACAAUUUAAUAGCGGCGAUUAUUGGAUAGCCGCUAAUACUUUUCAUCAAUUUAUGUUUAGCGGCAAUUAUUUUAUAUAGCUGUUAAUUUUAUAUUAAAUAUCUAACUCUAAUUCAAACGCUCUCCCAUCCUAAGUUCCUACCCCCCCUCCCCAAAUCGCACCACCUCUUCCCACGCGGAGCUCAACCUCGAUCGAGCUCUCCCCCUCUCCUUCACCUUUCCUCUCUCCUCCCUCUCCUUCACCUCUCUAGUCUCUCCUCCUAAAUCGUCGUCGACCUCGCCAAAACCCUAACCCUAACUCCCCGCAUCUCCCCUUCUCUCCACUGAGGCCCCCUAUUUCGCUUUUCCCCUCUUCCUAGCACUAGAGUAUAAGGCGACGAGGAGAGAGGAGGAAGGGAGAGGGGGCGCGGAGAUGGAGAGCCACAAGAAGUCUCUGCUGAGGGUCUGAGUCCGGGUCCGGGUCACAGCGCGAAAGCGGGGGCGGGAGUCGCCAUCCUCCGACGAGGGCUCCGGCCGAAAGAUGCGGGCGCGGGUGUGUGCUAACUAGGUGAGGAAGCUUGCGUGUCGCGAGAUCGGCGGCCUCCCUCGCAUGGCCCGCGUCGCCUCCUCUAGCGCCCCCGAGAAGUUCCGCAACAUCCAGCUCCAGGUCCGUGCUCCCUCACACGUAAUUUGAGUUCCUGUUCCUUCGCUUUCUUGUUGUUUGGUUGGAAUCGUCGAAGAUCGUGCGCUCAGGGCUCGGAAUUCGUUAGGGUUUGGUGACUAUGAUCGUUGUGAAACUCUUAAUUCUGUGAGUUGGAAGCGAAGCUCCUCGGCCAACACUCUGCCGAACGCAACCAGGACGCCACCACGGUAUAAUUAAUUAGUAUAAGAUCUUAAUAGAAUGCUUAAUUUGCGAUGUUUGUGAAUAGUAUAAGAUCUUAGCAUUUUUGUCGUAGUAACUUGACAAUGUAUUAGUAUAAGAUCUUAGCAUUUUUGUCGUAGUUUGUUUCUGCUGAUUUUACCCCUUGACUCAACAAUUCAAGUUUACAUAUUGGCGCCCUCUUCAUCAUUAAUAUUAAGAAUGCACCAUUUCAGAAAUAAAUAAAAUCUUACAAACCUCAUCGAGUUGGUUGAAUCAAUCCUAAAGUUUCUCUUCUUCUCGUAAACUCCCAAAUCCAGCUCAUGGAGUUCCUUCGGGUCACUAGGUAACUUAAGCCUCCAUUUCUUCGGUGCUGCAACUAAUACCCUCUCCAUCUUAACGAACGAACUCCCUUGUGGCACUUUGUGCCUAUAAAUGCAUCACGGGUUGGAGUAAACCCAAAGGACGGUCCUAGCGGGUGAGUUCCUGCGAUGAUGGACUUAAUGUGAAGCAAGUUAAUGUGGCGAAACCCCCGGGUUAGCCUUGAGAUUAAAGAAUAAAGAACAAAGAGCAAGGAAUAAAGAACAAAGAGCAAAGAGCAAAGAACAAAGAACAAAGUGUAAAGAUAAAGAACAAAAGAACUUGCAUAAUCUGCAUAUGUUAAUGUUGAGCAUAUUCCUUGCUUUAUUGUUCAGGCAUAUUAGCAUCAUGUUGUAGAUUGGUUACUAUAUUUCAGCUUAUCCUUCUAUUAUGCCUGAGUUAGUCCUAGUGGGAAAGUCGGUGAUGUUGGGGCCGAACCUACUGGGAACUUUGUUGUAGUUCUCACCCCACUAUUUCCACAGAGUCGGGACCGAGCGAGCCGGCGAGCGACCGAGGUAAAGGUAUCGCGCCUUAGACAGAGGCCACCAGAGUUGAGUUUGGUUUACAUUUUGUUGGUAGAGUACCCUAUGUUCAUCUUUUGUAUUUGAUGACUAGUGAUGUUGAGAAAAAAAUGUAAAGCUUAUUUUGAGGUAAAUGUGAUGUAAGAAAGAAAUGAUGCAAUGUGUAAUGAAGUACAAAGAAUCAUGAAUGUAAAUGGAUGCAAUGUAUAUGAUCAAAAAUGAAUCAUAGUACUUGUAAAUGUUUAGUUUCCUUUUUCUUUCACUCGUGGCUAUUGCUUACCCUCGUGUAAGCCGUUUGUGUAUGUUUCCGCUAGUGCUUUUCUCUAUUGAUGAAAAUGUACAUGUGAUGAGCAUUGGGCGGAUAGGGGAAACUCUGUCCGUUCGGCGUCUGUUUGACGUGCUCGGGUCGGGCCAAAUUGGUAUCGGCUUCGGGGCGUGACAGAUAUAGUGGUAUCAGAGACAAGAGUGAAAGAAUAGGAAUGGACCUAGAGACCCUUAGGAUUGGAAAGCCUUAAGGAUCUAGGAAACGUGAGUGACGUGGGAUCAAAGUUAGCGAAAGCAUGUCAUUGGGUCAAGAUGGGACGUCUCUAAUGUGAUUAGAGGCUAAGUGUAAUUUUCAUUUAUCCUCUACUUCUAGUGUUGUGUCGGGCGGCCGACGACAUGGCGCUUGAAGUAAGGAUGAAUGUGCAUGUUGCUUUCGCCUAAUUGUGUAUGGUCAAGUAAUGAUGGUCAAGUGACUAAUGUGAGUUGCUUCUUUUCAGGAAGCAAUGGCACCUCGACGUCGAUCGCAGGCAAGGUCGAUGCCGGAGGAAACGAAUGCGGUGCCCGAGUAAUCCGGAGCAAGUGGCGACGGAGAGCUUAGGGAACAAAUGGCCGCGCUUAUUGGCGUAGUGUGGCAGCAAGCGGAGUCUGUUCAACGCCAAGGGGAACAGAUUCAGCGGCUCUAGGAGACCUUGGAGCGCCAGCAGGCGGCGGCGGCCCAGGCGGGUGUCGAGCAUGUCACGCCCCCUGUGGUAGUGCCAAGUGUUGUUGAGGGAGCGGCGGCAGCGGCGGCUGUUCCAGUUACGGUAGUACCGGCAGGGUCGGGAACUUCGAAUCCCGAUAGCGCGGCAGUCGAUGCGGAGCGAGAGCGCACUUUGGCGGCUCUCAUUCAGUUCAAGAAGUUCGACCCACCUACCUUUGAAGGCGGUUUGGUGGAGCCGGCGAUCGCGGAGUCGUGGAUCGACUCAAUGGAGACGCUCUUCGAGGACUUGAAUACCUCGGAGAAGGACAAAGUGUACCUUGCCACACACUGUUUUGAGAAAGCGGCGAAGGUGUGGAGGAAGCGAGUUAGGCGGGAUCGACCUACCGACCUCCCGCCUAUGAUGUGGGAAGAGUUCAAGAGAGCGGUGUUCGCGAACUACUUCCCCGACAUGGUGAAGCGGAAGCUACAGGACAAGUUCCGCAAGUUGAGACAGGGCGAUCGAUCGGUGGGGGAGUACGAGCAAGAGUUCUCCCACCUUAUUGAUUGCGUUCCCAACGUUGUUCGUGAUGAUCGGGACCGGGCGGAUUGGUUCUUGCGAGGACUCUAACCCCGGAUUUAUGAGAAAGUGCAAAUUUUGAAGUUGUCGACCUUUGCGGAGGUCUUCGAUAGAGCCUUGUGGGCGGAGCACGGUAGCGCCCAUGUACUUGAAGAAAGGAAAGCUAUUGCCGAGUCGAAGGACAAGGGCAAGAAAAGAGCGGCGGGCGGUGCCGGGGGCCGGCCAAUUGCUAAGAAACCCCCUCCGUAUCCCCGACAGCAGGCGAGGAAUUGGAGACCACCUCUAUGUGUUAUUUGUGGUGGUGAGCACAAGGUGUCGACUUGUCCGCAGCGCGAUGGCAAGUGUUUCAAGUGUGGCCAACCGGGACAUCUUAUCCGGGAGUGCCCGACAUGGACGUCGUCUGCGCCAACGGCGGCUUCAACACCGUCUACCCCGAGACAGCUUGCGGGGUUACCACCGGCGAUGUCGGCUGGACGCGCGUCAGCACCGCGUCAGCCGGAGGGAUCGAGAGCGCCUAGCGGCCGAGUCUUUGCCGCUCAGGUGGAGGAGCAACAACCUGCAGCACCCGACGACGUCGUGGCAGGUAUAGUUGUGAUUAAAGGCACUAGAGCUAGAGCAGUGUUUGAUACAGGCGCAUCUCAUUCGUUCCUUAGCACUUCAUUUGCUAAGACUCAUGGCAUAGAGAUGGUGUACAAUGAGGAUUACUGGUGGGUGAACGCUCCAGAGCAUUCAUUCAGUGUCCAUAACGAGUGUUUGGCGUGUCCAGUGCAAAUAGGCGAUUGGAUUAUGCCGAUUGAUCUGCUAGUGCUAGAUCAGAUGUGGGGAUUUGAUGUUAUCUUGGGGACCAACUGGCUCUCCAAGUACUAUGCGGUGAUAGAUUGUGAAAGCAAGGUGAUCACUUUUCAUAAGCCUAAUCAAGAAGAGUUAGUCUACCAAGCAUGCAAAAGUAGGCGCUUCGCGGCGACUAUAUCGUCUGUGAGGGCGAAGAGAAUGAUCAAAGGAGGGUGUAAGGCCUAUUUGGCAACCAUGGUGGAUGCUCGAAAGGAGUACCCAGAGUUGAGAGAUAUUCGAGUAGCGUGCGAGUUUCCGGAUGUGUUUCCGGCGGAGUUACCGGGACUGCCACCGGAUCGGGAAGUUGAGUUUGUCAUUGACUUGAUUUCCGGGGCGGAGCCAGUUUCGAAGGCUCCGUACAGAAUGGCACCGGUGGAGCUAAAAGGUCAGCUACAAGACUUGCUCGAUAAGGGCUUCGUGAGGCCGAGUGUGUCACCGUGGGGAGCUCCGGUGCUAUUUGUGAAGAAGAAGGAUGGCACACUUCGACUCUGCGUAGAUUAUCGCGAGUUGAACAAAGUGACGAUAAAGAACAAGUACCCGUUGCCGAGGAUUGACGAUCUAUUCGAUCAGUUGCAAGGGUCCAAGGUGUAUUCGAAGAUUGAUCUCCAAUCGGGGUAUCAUCAAUUAAAGAUCAGGCCGAAGGAUGUGCACAAAACGGCGUACCGUACGCGGUAUGGCCAUUAUGAGUUCACGGUAAUGCCGUUUGGGCUUACUAAUGCCCCGGCAGCAUUUAUGGACUUGAUGAAUCGAGUCUUUAGGCCAUUGUUGGAUCGAUGCGUCGUGGUAUUUAUAGACGACGUGUUGGUUUACUCAAAGAGUGAGAAGGAGCAUGAAGAGCAUCUGAGAGCGGUGUUGCAGAUACUCAGACAAGAGAAGCUCUAUGCAAAGUUAAAGAAAUGUGACUUUUGGCUGAAGGAGGUCACAUGUAAUGCACUGGAUCUUGCAAAUCGCAAGAUUCGAGUGUUUGAUCUGUGUGUGGAGCCUCUCCACAGUUUUUGGAGGGUCGUUGAUAGUGUUCCGACCUCUAGCACGCAUCCCGAGGAUGUUGGAUUGAGACUUGGCACCAAAAUCCCGAAACUGAAAUUUUUGGUCAGCUCUCGGGUAGCCUGCAGCAGAGCUUGUACCGGAACAAGGUUGGUCUUGUACCGGUACAAGGUUGAUGGUUGUACCGGUACAGCCAUCGGGCUUGUACCGGUACAGAGCCGCAGACCCAGCAACCCGAGCCUCGGGUUUGCAAUUUCGUCGGCCUUGUACCGGUACAAGAGCCCGUGUACCGGUACAAGGAGGCAGUUUUUGUGCAGUUUGAUCUGCAGGGGUGUUUUUUCUAUUGUAGCACUUCUAUAAGUGCACCCCACGCCCCUUAGGGCCUCCCCUGUGCAGAGACCAGCAGGAGUUGAGGUAGGAGGAGCUUCCUCUCCCUUCCUUUGCAUUUUUACUCCUUUUGCUUGGUUUUAAUUGAGUUUUCUCUCCUCUAUUUGCAUCUUGGUGGCUCCUCCACCAUUACCUUGUACCGGUACAAGCCCUGCUGAAGGCUACCCGAGAGCUAACCAAAAUUCGUUUUUUCGGGUUUUGGUGCAAGGCUUUAAACCACAAUUCUCGGGAUACGUGCCAUAGGUCGGAACACUGUCAACGACCCACCAGAAAAACUGGAAAAGCUCAGAACACGACCAAACACUCGAACCUCGCAAUUUGCAAAGGUCCAGUGUGUUACACCUAUGAAGCUUCGGACCUCCGUGACGUUCGUUGGGCGCUGCUAAUUCUCGACUGCUUCGACUUUUCUCGGGUCAACCGAAACACCGCCCUCGGAAAUCACGUGCCCUAAGAAGGCAACCUCUCGAAGCCAGAAGUCACAUUUCUUUAGCUUUGCGAAUAGCUUCUCCUCCCGAAGGAUUUGAAGCACUAUCCGCAAAUGCUCCGCGUGCUCCUCGUCGCUCCGCGAAUAGACCAAGAUGUCGUCUAUGAAGACCACGACAAAUCGGUCCAAGCACGCUUUGAACACACGGUUCAAUAGAUUCAUGAAUGCUGCCGGGGCAUUAGUGAGCCCGAAAGGCAUAAUCGUGUACUCAUAGUGUCCAUAUCGCGUACGAAACGCGGUCUUCUGAACAUCCUCCGACUUAAUCUUCAACUGAUGAUAGCCGGACUAUAGGUCUAUCUUUGAGUACACUCGCGACCCCUGUAGCUAAUCAAAUAAGUCGUCAAUUCGGGGCAACGGGUACUUGUUCUUUAUCGUGACCUUAUUCAACUCUCGAUAAUCCACGCAGAGUCGAAACGAGCCAUCCUUCUUGCGCACGAACAACACCGGGGCUCCCCACGGCGAUACGCUCGGUCUGAUAAACCCCUUGUUGAGAAAAUCUUGCAGCUGAUCCCUCAGUUCCCUUAGCUCUGCCAGCGCCAUGCGAUAUGGGGCCUUUGAGAUCGGCGCCGUCCCGGGAACCAAGUCUAUAACGAACUCGAUCUCCCGAUCCGGCGGCAUCCCCGGUAACUCCAUGGGAAAUACAUAUGGGAAUUCCCGCACCACCGAUAAUUCUUCUAAAUUCGGAGCCACUCGGUCCACUUCCACGACGGUCGCCAAAAAUGCUACGCAGCCGCCGUUAACCAACUUUCUAGCUCUCGUCGCCGAUACCGUCACGACAAAACAAGAGCUUCGACAAGCUCGAUAAACGGACUCCUUCUGUCACGCCCCAAGCCCACAUCUUUGGUCGGUUUCGGGCACGCCAACAGACCGUCGAAUGGACAAGGUUUCUCCUGUACAUUCAAGGCGUCACAAUCCAUACAAAGCGCGAGGUUCCAAACAGGAACAAUACUCAACAACGAUUGUAUAAGGAAGGUAUCAAACAACAUAACACAUCCUAUGUUAUUACAAGCAUUCCGAUUAGAUUCAUUUUCUUACAUCACACUUGCAUAUUACAUUUUACAUUACAAAUUACAUUCUUUUACAUUCAUACAUCCAAAUACAAUCAAGUUCUUUCAAUUAUUGCAUUCUUGGUUCUUUUCAUUUUUAUACCCCUAAGUAGCCGACUCGGGAUACUGCUAUCUGGUCUCGAUGGCAGGGCGCUAACUACGGAGCUAUGCCCUUGCCUCGCGCCGCCGCGCCGCUCACGUGCGAACCUGUAACACCCCAAAACAACGUGGGGUGAGAACCAACUCCAUGGUUCCCAGUGGGUACGGCCACCCAAGGGAAAAGCUCGACCAAUAGGUCCGAGGAGGCACUGCAAUCAUAUUAGUCCAAAAACAUCUACAGAUAUAUAUAUCAUCAUGUAAUUAUGCAACUAAUAGAUAACAUGCCUCACGAAUAUGCAAUAUGCAAAUCAUGCAACUCAUGAAAGUAGAUUAUUGAUUCUACUCUUUAUUUUUAACCAUUCUUUACUCUUAGCCAAUCUUUAUUGCUAAUCAUUCUUUACAUUAUUAGCUAUUCUUUAGCGUGUGCUAUUUUUUGACAUUAGCCGUUCUUUAUUCUUUAGUCUUUACUCUUUAUUCUUUAUUCUUUAUUCUUUAUUCUUUAUUCUUUACUAAGGGUACUCACACCUUAGCCAUAUUAGUCUCAUUUGCCAUUCUUUCUUAUGGUUACAUUACCUUAACCACUAUGCCAUCCGACUCGGUCUUAAGUCAAUCAAUUGCGGAUAGCCCGCGCUCAAUCAGGCUCGAGGUGAAGGAACUAUCACAUGCACCUCAGCCUUAAAUCCUCUCGACUGUAGGUCUGCCACGGGGUGAGGAAUGCCAUCGAACCCUGGACCACAAGUCUCUCGAGCUCUAGCUUAUGGCAUACCGGGCGAGGAGAACCAACAUACCCGUUGAAUCACUGUCGGGCGAGGAGAACCAACAUACCCACAGUAUGAUUCUCAUUAGCCAUCUCUUUUACCGGGCGAGGAGAACCAACAUACCCGUUGAAUCACUGUCGGGCGAGGAGAACCAACAUACCCACAGUUAUGAUUCACCUGUGCGCGGUCGCAAGCCUUAUCUACUGCACUAGCAGCCUUCAUUCCUAGGGAUUCCGGAAUCCAUUUCUCAUUACUCAAGGGUUGGUCUUAACCCUAUGGAAUUGACCUAUCUAGGUCCAAGCCUUUACUCAACCUAAGUUAAUACUUUAGGUUCGUUGCUUUCAUACUCAUAGCCUAGGUUGUUAACACUAGGUCCAUUACUCUUUUCUACCUAGGUUCACUUGACUCUAGGUUCUUUACCUUUAUUUCACAACCUAUGUUCUCUAACAUUAGGUUUAAUGCCCUUCUCGUUAACCUAUGUUCAUUAACACUAGGUACAUUAUCACUCUUGUUCAACCUAUGUUCUUGACGCUAGGUUCAUUGUCAUUCUUGUUCAACCUAUGUUUAUUAACACUAGAUUCAAUGCCACUCGAUGUUCUUACUUUACAAUGCCACGUUCUUUACUCUACUUAGAGUUCAUUAAUCUUAGUUCACAUUCAUAUCUAGGCAUAUGUCUUAUGCAUUCAUUAUUAGCAUCUCAAUCAUGCACUUAUAUAUCAUCUAGUUCAUGCACAUAGUUCAUGUGUUUACUUAACAUACAUCUUAUACAUGCAUUUAACUUAUGCAUUCCUGACUAGCAUAUACUCUAUGCAUUCAUUUGACAUCUAGCUCAUGUAAAUUAACAUCAACUCAUGUAUUUACUUAGCAUUCUUUCAUUAGGUCAACAUGCAUUCCAUUUAGUAUUUCUAUAUCAAAUCAUAUGCAUUCACUUAGCAUUUCUAUAACAUGUAACAUGCAUUCUCAUUAGCAUUUCUACUUUAUGUCAUUAGCAUGCAUCAAUAUGAAACCACACUAUUCUGAGACAUAAAGGCGACCUAGUCGCUUCGGUAAACACAACCCACCUUAAAUUGCUCUCUGAUUGCUUAUUGUCACUUGCAAUCGGCCUUCCGCGGCACCCGUAACCCGGUUCGGCCCGAUUUUGCUAAUACUCACCAACCGUGUGUCGAAUCGCGGCACCAAAAAUUAUAGGUCUACGGUUAUGUGUCACGGUGCUCCAAAUCCAUUUUCAUGAUUUUACAAUGUCGCCUCGGCCUUCCAGGUGGAAACUAAGCCUAAAUGCCUGUUUCUUUAAUAACUUUACAAUGGCUCGACGAAUCGCCGAACCGACUUCACCAACGCGUUCGUUUACCUAGCAAUUAGGUUUACGGAGGGUCAAAUUAGAUCAAACCCUACUAUUUUACAAAACCCUAUUCGGAGCCCUAAUAUGCAAUUAACCUCCAAAUAAUCUAAAUUAAAUGGAGCAACAUACUAACAAUGCUCAUUAGAGGCUAUUAGAACACUUAAAGCUAAGGAUUAAGCCAAAUCCCAAAAGCUUACCAUAAUGUGAACGCCGCGACGAAAGCACGCCGCUCAAACGGCCGCACGAGAGCUCGAACCGACGCCUCCAACACGUUCGCAAGCUCGCUCUCCACCAACCCUCAAAUUUUUAGAGAGAGAUUUGGAGAGAUGAGAGAGAUCUUUAGAGAGAGAAAGGAGGGUUUCUUCCCCUCUCCAUGCGUGCGUGUGAUGCUUUGAGGCUGCAUGGUUUGAGGGAGGAAGAAGAACAAUGGCUUCUUUUAUAAUUACAGCCUCCAACACUAUUUACUUCGGGCAGCUCGAAAUCUGAUAUCUUUCGCCAGAGCUCCCUGAACAUCCGUUUGAGCUCAAAUUUGACAGUCAUAUUCGGUUUUACUUAACGAGUCCAAAGAAGUUUUAAUAUUUUAGUUUCGACCCCGUUUGGUCGCCGAAAACUGUACCGAACUGUAAUCUUUAUCAGAUAACUGUUGGAUUUUAUUUUUCACCUUCCGGGUGUCAGAAUGACAUGAAACUUUAAAUCUAGCCUCAUAAAAAUAAUUUUGGUUCAUCCUCCAGUUUUCAUAAUUUUCUGACAUUGUACAUUUCUGCUAAUUUAUCUGUCCCGUUUCCGACAGAAAAUUCUAAAUCUUCUGUUUUUAUUCCGAUUUCAGCACAAGUCACCUCUGACUUAUGUUUUACUUCUCUAAAUCCAAUAAAAAUAGUAUCUCACACUAUUUUUAUUUUUAUAUCAAAAUCCGGUAUAUUACACCUUCUGUCUUGGCUCCCGAAAGGUGAUCGAUUUAUUCUUACAAUCGAUCGUGGCGUAAUACCUCAAGAGCUAGUCCAUGCCCAAAAUGACGUCAUACGUCUCCAGUUUAUUAAGUUCCAACAUCCGGAUGGGCAUUAUCCAGUCGCCUACUUGCACUGGGCACGACGAGCACUCCAUGUAGGUAUUGAAUAACGACUCAGGGCCUUCAACUCGCCACUUGCCACUUGCUUCUAUGGGUAUGUCAUGCAUGCGUGCAAAUGCUCUACUAAUGAACGAAUGUGUGGCACCUGUAUCUAACAUAGCCCUGAAGCGAACUCCAUCGAUUAGAACCAUACCUGCCACAAUGUCAGGCUCCUCGGCUUGGGUGGACUCCUCGGCUUGGGCCUGAGCGGUGAAUACCCGUCCGCUUGGCGCUGAUCGAGUCACCUCCGGCUGGCGCGGCAUCAGUGCGCGUCCCGCUGAUACAGGAACAUAUGGGGCCCCUCCAUGAUGAGGCGGGGGUGCUGGAGUCGACGCGGCUGACGGAGUAAACGAGGCCCUUGUUGGACAGUCGCGGCUUAUGUGCCCUUCUUGUCCGCAGUCGUAACAUUUACCUUGACGUUGCUUACACUGCGGCGCUCGAUGACCCCGGCCUCCACAGAUAACGCAUUGCUAUGGCCCACGGCCCCACGACUGUGAUCGCGGAUACUUCGGGGGCCUCCUGGAACCAGAUUGUCCCCGCGAACCACCGCACGAUAGCUUCCUCCCCUUGUCUUGGGGGUCCAGCCAGCAGCUCACGUUCCUCCCGCACGUGGGCAUCUCCAUGCUCUGCCCACAGAGCUCUGUCAAAGACUUCGGCGAAAGUCGUGAGCUUGAACAACUGCACUGCCCGAUAUAUCCACGGUCGAAGUCCCCGCAAGAACCAUUCGGCCCUGUCCCCGUCAUCUUUAACCACGUCUGGGACACAGUCUAUACUAUGGGAGAACUCCUGCUCGUAGUUUGCUACCGAACGAUCCCCCUGUCUCAAUUUGCGAAAUUUCUCCUUCAACUUCCACUUCUCGGUGUUAGGGAAGUAGUUUCCAAACACUUCAUUCUUAAACUCCUCCCAGAGCAUUGGUGGAAGGUCAGAGGGCCGAUCCCGCUUCAACUGCUUCCACCAUACCUUCGCUGCCUUCUCGAGGCAAUGGGUGGCGAGGGGUACCUUGUCCUGCUCCAAGGAAUAUAGGGGUCCUCAAAGAGGGUCUCCAUAGAGUCAAUCUAGGACUCCACCACCGACGGCUCCACCUUCCCCCCUUCAAAGGUUGGUGGCUUAAACUUCAUGAAUUUAAUUAGAAACGUCAGCGCACGCUCCUACUCCACUUCCUCGGCCGUCGUUUCGGGUGUUGCCGAACCCGAAGCUGUCGGAGGCGCACUUGCCGGCGGGGGACAGGCAGCCACCAGAACCGCCACUAUACCCUCACCCUCAGCCGCUACCGGCGCGCGCGCCGAAGGUGCGGGUGGAUCGCGGCUCUCUGUCACUGUUGCGGUCGCCGCCGCCGCCGUUUGCCGCUCCACGAAUCCCUGGAGCGGCUCGAACUGGGCCUCCUAGCGCUGCAUCGCGCCCAACAUCGCAGCGACCUGCUCACGCAGCUCCUGCACUUCCUCCGAUCUUGGCUGCUCGGGCUACGCAGAAGGCGGUACCGGAACAGACCUACGUAUGUAACGUCUUGGGGACAUUUGCUCCUGAAAAGCAACAACUCGGUUAGUUAUCUUAAUCCGAUAACUUCUUAACGUUCACAAAAUUAAACGACUCGACGAUGAAAUCGGGCGGAAGCACACAAGUGUUCUAGUUCUGGACUCUUAGCGUCGCGUCGUCGGCCGCCAACACAACCACUACGAGCCAAGAAACGAGUGUCACUUAGAUCCGUCUAUAUUCACAGCUAGAGACAUAACAUCAUCUCCGACACAAUCGAUCAACUUCCGCCACCGCCGUGGGUUCACGUUCACUCACGCCCCUAUAAUCUUAGGGUUUACCAACCUAGGGUCUCCUAGGUCAUCCUAUACUCUCUCUUUACUUGCUCUUACGCUCUGAUACCACUUUAUCUGUCACGCCCCGAGACCGCCACCAAUUUGGUCCGGUUCGGGCACGUCGGACAGACGCUGAACGGACAGGACCUCCCCUGUCCGCCCAAGGCUAAGCCAACAGAUCAUGUAUAAGAAUUUACCCAGGAAAUCAAUUCAUAAAUACACGAUCACAAGGAGCACCACCAGUGCCAACAAAUAAGAGCAAGAUACAAGUAUGAUACAUACAAGUAAAUAAAGAGAGAAAGUCUAUCUAUUACAUUCAUUUAACUUAAUACAUUUAAUUCCAUCUUUUACAUUCUUCCAGAACAUAUGUACAAGCACUCUCAAACCUCACCCCUAUACAUCAUCUACUCUCAAAUAGAAAGGAUGACAGCUAAUGCAAAAAGGUAGAUACCUAAUGCAACUAGGGCGCUAGGCCCUUACCGCGAUCCUCACGCUCGCCAGGGACACUCGAACUCGGACCUGUAAAAAGUGGGGUGAGAACUAUCUUCCAUAGUUCCCAGUGGGUUCGGCCGCCGACUCCGCCGGUCUCCCCACUAGGUCUAAGUAGGCACAAGUAGAUAAACAGAUAGAUAGAUUUGGAAAGCUAUGAAAACAGGAUAGUAAAGCUACCCUACUGUGCCCGAAUCAUAUAUAUGUAGAAUGCAUACACAACAAAGUAGAUAAUCAACUAGCCCGUCAUAUGUCCAAAAAGUAAAGCUAUUUACUUGUUCAUCAAUCUCGUGGCUCACUCACUAAUUCGCCCACUACUCGCAUAGCCAUCUCGACGCGUAGGGAGACUAACUCAAACUACGAAUCCGAGACCGUCUGCGGGACCCCACAUAGGCCAUCCCUCGGGACCCCAAAUAGGCCAUCCCGAUCCCAUGGGACCCCAAAUAGGCCAUCCCUCAUGACCGACUCCGGAGCGCACUACUUGUGUGGAGCGACCAUCACAAGUUGGGAACAGACAAUUAGUACAAUCCAAUUCUCCCACCUCAAGGGUACCCUAUCCUCUAGGGCUACUAUCACCAUAAGUCAAUGUGUUUAAUAUACGCUACGACUCACAAUGCCACUCGUUCUUUGUUUAUUAACAACUAGAUGCCACUCGUUCUUUUGUUUCAACCAUUGCAUCAUUCUUUCAUCGCUACACUAUAGGAUUACAAGUCUCGACCCAAUCCUUAUUAAUCCAAUAUAUCAAAUAUCCAAUGUACGCUACGAUAUCAUCAAGGAUGGCAUAAGGAAAGGCAAUGCACAAUUAUCCUAUAAUGCAUGUGAACACAAGAUGCAAUGUCUCAAAAUACUAAGACAUAAGAGGGAGCCCGAUUGCUUCGAGAUGGUCACCACCCACCUCUUGGUGAUGCCGCGAUGGUAGAAAACUCGAUCUCGCUGCCCUUGGUCGACGCUUCGACUUCUCGGGUCGAUCCGAACCCUUAAGCUCUUGGUUCGGCGAUAUUUUCACACCCGCUUGUCGUAUCGACGAACCGUCUUCACCGACGCGUUCCGAGACCUAGCAAUUUGAUUUACGACCUAUUAAAAUAGAUCAAAACUCUAGAUUUCCAAAAAUCCCGAAUCCGUGCCCUAGGUUGGAAACGAUGGGGAAAUCCGUGGUGCGAGCUUCAAAUGCGAGCUCAAACCAUCGCCCUAGCUUCAAUAGGUUCCAUUCAAACCAUUUCUAAGCAAUAAAACCCAAUCUCAAGAAAUCCACCAUGGAUGAGUUUGAAGCUUACCUCAAUACCAAGCUCCAAGCAUGCUCUAGCUUGAAGGAGAGAGGGAAGAAGACGAUCUUCUUCUUCUUCUUGGUCUUCUCCUUCCUCUUCUUCUUCUUUUCCUUCUUUCCCUUUUUCUGCUUCUCUUCUUUUUUUCCUUUCGUUCUAUAGAGAGAGAGAGGGAAAGAGAGAGCAAAUGAGACAAAUGGGAGAGAGAGAGAGGUCCCCCACCUGUCAUAUAGGCCAUUUUACAAAUAGGCCCCUCAACUUUCCAUCUAUUAAACAGCUUUCACUGGGCUGAUUUCGCAGUGAGGGACCAGUCCUAGCUCGGGGAGACCGGUCCCCGAGAGCCUUCCAUCUCGGGCAGAAGGGAUUUCGCGUUCGGGAACUGGUCCCUGCCUGAGAGACCGGUCCCCGGGAGACUGGUCCUUGUCCGAGAGACCGGUUCCCGAGAGUUGGAUUUUCGGGACUUAGCCAAAUUUCGGCUAUUCUCGCUGGGCUAACGUUCGGGGACCAGUCCUUCCCUGCCAAGGACCGGUUGCCUCAAGAAUCCCCGCAAUCCCAGCCUGAUGGGACCGGUCCCUCCCUGCCAGGGACCGGUCCCCGAGAGCAAUUUUGCUCUAGUGCAGAUUUUGCACUGCUGCUCUCGCGGACCUUUCCUUAAUGCACCUUACGCAUUUUAAUCACCUUCGGACUUUCCAAAGCCUACACGCUCGACAAUUAGUAGAUUCUAAGCGAAGUCUAAUCCUCAGAUUUCGAGAAUUCACUUUCUUACAGUCGCGUUGUUUCGCAAUUGUGGCGGAGUUAGCGGGUUAAGGUGAUUAACCAAGUUGUUGUGUUUCAGGAGCCAAUGGCACCAAGGAGACACUACGUGUGUAGAUCCGUUCCGGCACCACCUCCCGUGGUGCCAGAGCAGGCUGGACCUCCGGUGGUGCCAGAGCCUGCUGGGCCUAGCGAGGUGCAGGAGUUACGAGUGCAAGUAACUGAGCUAACCAGUCAGGUCAAGCGGCUCCAGGAACUUUUGGAGCGGCAGGUGGCGGCGGCGGCUGCGACGGCAGUUGAAGGCCGUGGUCCGCCCGUGCCCUCGGCUCGCGCGCCUAAUGCGGCUGAGGGUAUGGGCAUUGCGGCAGCUCCGGCAGCGACGCAUCCCCCGCCAGCAAGUGUUCCUCCGGCAGCUUCGGGUUCGGCGAUACCCGAUGCGGCGGCCGAGGAAAUGGAGCGAGAGCGUUCGUUGACGGCUCUUAUAAGAUUCAAGAAGUUCAACCCACCAAUCUUUGAAGGGGAGAAAGUGGAGCCGUCGAUGGUGGAGUCAUGGAUUGACUCAAUGGAGACACUUUUUUGAGGAUAUCUAUACCUCGGAGAAAGACAAUGUGUAUCUCGCCACCCAUUGCCUUGGGAAAGUGGCGAAAGUGUGGUGGAAGCGGGUGAAGCGAGAUUGGCUUUCUGACCUUCCACCUAUGUUAUAGGAGGAGUUUAAGAGGGCGAUGUUCGCAAAUUACUUCCUCGACACGGUGAAGCGAAAACUGCAGGAGAAGUUUCGCAAGUUGAGGCAGGGGGAUCGCUCGGUAGCGGACUACGAGCAAGAAUUCUCCCACAUCAUAGAUUGUGUCCCGGAGGUUGUUCGAGAUGACCGGGACCGGGCCGAUUGGUUCUUGCGAGGACUUCAGCCGAGGAUUUAUAAGGCCGUGCAAAUAUUCAAGCUCACAACCUUUGCUGAGGUUUUUGAUCGAGCAUUGUGGGCGGAGCAUGGUGAUGCCCACGUGCGAGAGAAGCGCGGGCGUCCGAGAAGGACAAGGGGAAGAAACGACCUUGCGGUAGCUCGGGGGGACAGUCAAGUUCCAAAAAGCCUCCGAAGUACCCGAGUAGGCAGUCCGAGAGCCAGGGACCCGUGCGAUGUGUAAUCUGCGGUGGGGAGCAUCGCGCAAGAAACUGUGAGCAUAAGGCGAGAUGGUGCUUCAUGUGUGGUCAGGCGGGUCAUAUUAGCCGUCAGUGCCCAGAGGGAUUGUCGCCUGCCUCGACUGUAGCAUCCGCCCCGGCGGCUCCGAGGCAGUUUGGUAGAGUUCCACCUGCUGCCAUAUCCACGGGACGUGCGAUGGCGCCGCAUCAGCUUGAGGUGACCCGGUCGGCUCCGAGUGGUCGAGUGUUUGCCGGUCAAGCGGAGCGACCUGCUGAGGUCGAGGAGCGUGACAUCGUGCCAGAUAUGAGUUAAUUAAAGCAAUCAUACGCUUCUGCAUGAUGUAGACUUAAGAAAUUUCAUGCAUUUACCUUGUAGUCGUUCGCUACUAUUUGUGCAUUGGUAUAGUAGGGACCAAGUGAACGGGUUGGUGUAGAUACGCGAGCAUAGUUAUGUGGUGAGUGUAUUGCCUGCUGAAGCAAGUAGAGAGCUAGAUAGCACUAGCAAAAUGCUGGUGAAGAUUGUUGGACGAAAAGUGAGACUCGUAGUAGAGCGAUCGGUUAGUGGCCAAGUAUAGGCACAUGGACCUAGUAGUGCCUCAAAUUGAGGUGGGCGAAUCGUGCCCGUGUGGCCGGUGUGCAUAGGCAGGGUUGCCUAAUGCUGGACUUAGAGCACGGCGUAUAGAGCGCUCGAGUGUAGAUACUCGUAGAGUGCGGAUUUGAUUCAGCCGAGAGAGUGUAAUGGCAGUAUCACUUCAGCAUUGCUAAGUGUGAAGUGAGCCAUGGAACUCGUAAGGCUGGCGGCUCGCACUAGGUGCUUAGGAGCCGAUAGUGGUACUUAUAGCUCGAUAGAGUAUGUCGUGUAGGACGACGACGGUGGGUAUCGUUUGGGGACGAUCCGUGCUUGGACCAUUUGUGGACUGUGGAGCCUGGGCCCUUUGGGCAGGCGCAGUUAGCUGUGAGUGAUAGCGGCUCGGUACCUACGGGUAGGGCAGAAUUUUGGUCAGGAUGGUAGUCCGAGCUUAGACCCGGGAGCGUGGAAUGCCACGUAUUGGAUCGCGAGAUUGAUGAGAUACCGAGAGUUUGAUUAUGACCCAACUCGAGGACUUGACGUGGUUGGGGGUCAUGGUUGCUCCUGUUUGGAGUGUGUGCGAAUUCUCCAAUGAGAAUUUCGCCCAAUGAUGAUUGCGUCUACGAUCCGAGCGAGAGAUGCUAUGCGUAGUUGCGAUAGGUUUAGGCGCUAGGCCUAUCGUUUUGUGCUAUCGAGUUUUAUGCUGUUAAAUCUACCUAUAAAUAUAGGGCAUGUUUUUUUAAUUAAAAUAUGAGUUAAAAUUUAAAAAUUAAAUAUAUAAUUUUAAAUUUUAAUUUAAACCUAAAUUAAAAAUUAAAAUUUAAUCAAGCAUUUCGAAUCUAACUUAUGAAUUUGAAUUUAAAUUAAAUUUUAAUUUAUAUAAAGUUUUAUUCAAAUUUUAUUUNNNNNNNNNNNNNNNNNNNNNNNNNGCAUGUAACUCCAUGCAUAUAACAUAAUAAAAGAAAUAAAACUAAAUGAAUCCCCAAAACUACUACCUUCUCAUCUCCCAAAACUGCUCCUCUCUCACCUCCCAAAUACAAAAUAGUGGUAUGCAUGUAAUAAAAGCUAGCAAUGACCUCUUAGUUAUCAAACUUCAAAUAAAUAAUGGUAUGCAUGUAAUAAAAGCCAAGACCUCUUGGUUAUUAAAGCUUCGUUGAUAGCCUAAAGGAGGAUAGAAAGCUUUGCUUUAGAAAGUGAGUCUUUUUAUUAUUAUCAUAGCCAAUAGCAUCCCAAAAUUCCUGAACUCUUCCUAAUUUUAUUUAUUUAUAUAAAAGGAAAGAGACUGUUCUUGGUCUAAGGCCCUCUUUUAUCCUCUUUCGAGAAGACCAUAGAUGAUAUUAGGAGAUUUUUUCGAUACAGAAUGGCAAAAUGGAGUCAUCGGAUAAAACUUUCGAAUUGUCUAAUUGAAGCUGCUAAUGCAGAUUCCUCUCCUUCUAUGUCGGAUGAAUAUGUAUUAUUUCUCUCUCUCUUUUUUUUUUAUUGCAUAUUACUGUUCAUGAAUAAGUCAUUUGAGUUAAACAAAAUUGAUGGAGUAAAAUUAUAAAAAAAACUGAUUAAAUUAGUAUUUACAUCAACAAACUAACAUAAUAUAUAGAUUGUUAGCUUAUAGAUAUAUGAAAAGUGGGCUUUUACAAUUUAACGGUAGUUAAAAACUAACUAUUAUUAUUUUUAAAUUUAUUUGUAUGACUAUCAUAUAUUCCUUCAUAUUUUUUCUUUUAUUUUUUUACAUUUCGUGCUAAUUCUUUGAUGGCAUGACAAUUUGAAUGUCCAUAACAAAUGCAAUAAUAAUUAAUUUUUAAGAGAAAUCUAAUUUGAAUUAGAAAAGAUAAUAGGAUUGAUAAAUAUCUUUAUAUGAUUAGUUAAGUGUGAAUUUGAACCUCUUUAGUUUUUUUUUAUUAUUUAUUACCCUUCAUAAUAUUUUAAAUAUUUUUUCUAUUUUUUUUUAACGUUUUUAUUUGUUUGUUAAAUCUAUACACUAUAAAUUUUUACUAAAAAAUUUCUACCCGCCGCGUCCCGCGCGGGUCCUACGCUAGUAAUAAUAAUUUGCCUUACUCCUCCCCGUUCCCCAGAGCAGAGUCGUUCGUAGAAGAAACAUAAUCCAGAGUUAGGUUUAGGGUUUCGGCCUUCCGAACUCCGAGCUCAUAUUAAUGGCGACGGUUCUCGGGAAUGCGAUCUUCCACCCUCUCCUCCUCACCCCUCCCUCCGUCCCCUUUGGCGAGAGCCGCCGCGGCGUUGCUGCUUUCGGCCGCAGGGGGCUCGGCGGCGCUCGGUGGCGGGCCAUGGUGCAGCAGCAGCAGACGUUCCAGGGCCCCGCCGCCAGCUACGCUCGGGAGAUGGAGCGGCUUUCCGCCAAGGAAGCGCUUCUCCUCGCCGUGAAUCCCUCUCUCUCUCUCUCUCUCUCUCUCUCUCUCUGGGGGUGGAUCGAAGAAGGGAUUUUCGAGUUUUUUUUAUUUGAUCUUGUGAUUCAUUCUUACGGAAACAUUGGUAUAUCUUUGAUGAAUCUAGAAUUAUUUUGGAAAAGAUGUUCACUGUUUAAUUGAAAUGCAUCUAUAUUUUUUAAUGACCAGUUGUUCUUCUGGUGUGUUUCCACGAAUUUAAGUAGGUGCCCCACUCUUCUAGUGCCAGGGAAUCGGUGGUUCUCCUCGCCGCCUCAACACCAAAAUUGAUGCAAGAGAUUUUGCAUUCUGAUUGAAUCUUAUGGCACAUUCUUCACUCUCUUAGCUAAUUGUGGGAAUAUCUUUGAUAAUUUUGUAACUAACUAUCACGUGAAAGGUGUUCAAUGUCUAGCGAGCUGUGCGGGCAUUUCUUGAUACUUAUUUAGUUUGUUGUGAGAGAUAAUUGAGAAUGUAUGAAGUCUUUAUCUCAAUCAUAUUUACCGGUUUGAAUUGUAUAUAUAUAUAUAUAUACAGAAUUAGGCUACUAUAGUAUCUAUAGUACCAGCUCCGGUACUAUAGUCUUGUUUUUGAUCUUAGGGUGUUCAAAUUAACGAUCCACACCGUUAAAUAUGAUCUAGGUUAUAUCAAGUUCUUAGGAAUAAAAUUUUAGUUUUUUUCGAUAUCGUUUAUUUAGUAAAUAAAUUAUGUCAAAAUGGACGGUGGAAAUUGAAUAAUCUUUAAAAUUUGAGUAUUGGACUUUUAAAUUCAAGAUCAAGAAUGUUAACCUUAAUCUAGAUAGUUUAAAGUAUUUUCUAUCAAAAUUUGAAGAAAUUUAGAAUCUUCUACACUGUUAAACUCCAAACUUGCCAUAGUAGCCAUUGAAAAUUGAUAAUUUUGAAAUGGUUUGAUCAUAAAGUAAACUAUGUCGAAAAAAUAUAAAAUUUUAUUUCUAAAAACUUUAAAUACCCUAGAUCAGUUUUAAUGGUGUGGAUCGUUGAUUUGAACACCCUAAGAUCGAAAAUGGGACUAUAGUACUAGAGCCCCGGUACUAUAGAUAGUAUAGGAGACUAGCUCUAUAUAUAUAUAUAUAUAUCUAGUUCUAUAUAUAUAUAUAUAUAUAUAUAUAUAUAUAUUUGGGUUAAAAGAAGCUGGGUUUCGUGUUUACUUUGACUUUUCAGCAAUGUGGUCCCUUUUUGAUCUUGCUUCUGUUUAGAAUCCUGAAGAAGUGUAAAGCUUCACAGCUUUCCAAAUUUUGUUAAACUUGUUAUGAAUUCUAGAGUAGUUGGAUUUCUUUUAUCUAAUCCCGAUCUUCAGGCUAUCCUUACCAUUAGAACUUAGGAUGCUUUGCAAUUUUCCAUUUUUCAGUUCAAGGAUGCUGGGGGAUUCCAAUCCUUGGUCAGUGGCAAGACUACGGAGAUGCAGAAGAUUGACAUCAAUGAGAGAAUUGUUGGUCUUGAAAGGCUCAAUCCAACUCCUCGUCCUACAACGUAUUGGUCUAUUUGUGCCUUCACAUUUAUGAUUCACAAUCAUUAAAAACUAGCCUUUUGUUAUGGGAAAUGAGUGAGAACAUUUUAGAUAGUUGUAUUCUUACCCCUCAUCAUCAGCCUUCCCUGUUCCAUUCAUUUAUGCCUCCUUUGGUAUUGUUGCUGCCUCUUUAUAUUCUAAAAAUUCCAAUGUGGCAAAGUGUAUGGUCCUAUGAGGGUUGAUUGCAGUCCUUACAUUUAUAGCGUUUGUUUGGAAAACAUAAAAAGGAGUAGCAACUUUUUUCCUGUUUGAUUUCUUUGAAGAUAUCAUUUUGCAUUCAGCCCAGGUGUGUCGCAAGCCUACCAAACAAUGAUAACAGAAUAAAAGUCCAUUUGCCAGGGAAUCCAAUCAUAUGGACUUUGCGCUUAAAACAGAAAAAGGCAACAAUGCCAAGGGGACCUUAAUUUUAUUGGACUUUUAUGAUCUUAAUAGUAUAAUUUACAUGGAGGCAUUUGUGUGUCUUCCCUUUUCAGGUCACCCUUUCUAGAAGGCCGAUGGAACUUUGAAUGGUUUGGUGCCGGUAGCCCUGGAUCAUUUGCUGCGAGAUUUCUGUUUGAGUAGGUAUCUCCUUCUAAAUGCUACUGCAUAGGUAAUUUGAAACAAGUGUAAUAAGUGAACUGUUCCUAUUUCUUGAUUUGCUAUUUAUCUGACAUUGUAUUUAAUCACAAAAAAUAGUGUGCCCGAGAGAUGCUUAUGGCUACUAGUAGUAAUGUAGUUAGUGAGGUGGAUCACAUGAACAUACUGAAUUGAUUUAAACAGAUAAGAGUGAAUGGUAGAAUAAUACUUAUGCAACCAUGUUUCUCUUCAUAGGAGAUCACCUACAACUUUGGCAUACUUGUUGGGACUUGACAUGCUGAUUAAGGAUGGAUAUUCAAAGGUUACAGCAAACCUUAAGUUCCUAAAUACGGUAAUCACAUUAAAACGGAUUAUUUGUUGCUGUCAAAUGCUUUAAAUAUUUUAAAGAGAGUUCCUUUGAAUGUAGUAUGCUUAUAGAUGCAUAAGCUUUUUUGAAUAGUUUUCUUGUUGCAUGUGUGUAUUUGUGAGUUUUUCAGAUGAUCCUUUUAUUGUAUGUUAACAUUUUAUAAACUGCAUACUGUUCCAAUGAUAGAUCUAAAAGGAUAUGGGAGAAAAUAGCUUGAAUAUAUCAGUUGGGAACAUAAUAAAUAAGACUUGGUUGGAAAAUUAAGCUUGUUACAUGUUCUAUAAGUUGAUGAUAAAUUGAUGAUUGAAGUCAUAUAUCCAACAUUUCAUCCUUUUUAUUUACCGAGUUGCCUGCUUCCUUUCAUUCUAGUUUGUAUGUACAAUUUUCUAGAUUCCACUCAGUAGAAAAUUAUUUUGCAAGGUGAACAUUCUGCUAUUUUACUAAGAAUUGCUAACCAUAAACAGUGAUAAUGGUAAAGUUUUCUACCCUUAUAUAGUCUUUACUUGCUAUUGAUUGAAGCUUCUCUGGUGGCAUCUUCAUAUACAGAUAGAAAGCAAGUUCCUGCUAACCACAAGAUUGUCCGUGGAGGGCCCUAUGAGAAUGAAGGAAGAAUAUGUUGAAGGGCUUCUAGAAACGCCCACAGUUAGUGAACAGGCUAUCCCUGAGCAGCUGAAGAGCAUAGUAGGGCAAGCAACUGGAACUUUGCAGCAACUUCCAGCCCUUAUAAAGGAUGCAUUUGCAAACGGGCUUAAGUUACCACUCAGUAAGAAAUUUCUGCUCAAACUCACUAACUGGAUUAUUUUAAUUCUAAAGAUUCUGAAAAAGUUAAAAGCAUUGUGUGUAUUUUGAUUAUGUGGGCUGCUUCUGUGUUUAACGAGCAUGCAGAAAAGUUAUGUAAAUAUAUUGAGCUGAUGACUUACUUUUUGCUUGUAGCUAAAACAGCUGCAAGAAUUGUUUAACCACCUGGUGCUUUCUGCUGUUAGUGCCAAUUGUCACACAUUAUGGGGUGGUUAGGUAUAGGAUAAAUGGGAAAUGCUUUUGAGUCCCCCAUAUGAGUACUGCCUAUCAUUGCUAAUGUGCUGUCUGCACAACAAUGUGUGUGACACAUUAGCAUGCCAGUAGAUUAGUAAUCUACAGAGGGCAUUCUGAAGUAUCUGUAGCAGUACUCUUUGUAAACACCUACCUUACCGGUCUUUGGUAAGUCCUUAUUUCAUUUCUUUGUUAAAACAUUUUGGAUUGUCAUGAAGACACUGAUCCAAUACUGGAUUUCACCUUACGGCUUUGUUUUUAUUUUUGCUUUUUCACGAACUAAAAAAUUAGUCUGAGCAUGACGAACUCUCAAAUUAGUAUGUUUGGAAAUAAACCUUCAGUUAGUCUGAGCAUGAUGAACUCUCAAUUUAGAUGUUCCUUAAGGGAAGUUAAAAGAAAAUUUUAAAAUUACUAAUCAAUUGUCCUAUAGCUAUUCUAUUUCCAGCUUUUUAUAUUGUGGGGAGUGCCUUGUUGGUUUCUCAAAUCUACAAGUUGUCCUAUAGCUAUUCCUUGACUUUAAAAUCGAAAUCAUCUUAGUUUCUUAUUUUUAUUAACUUAGACAAUUAAAUACAGGUACCAAUAAAGAAAAAUGAUUGAAAGAAGCUCCAAAUUAGAGAGUGAUGUAAUACCGGUAUAGAGGGACAGAGUCCUUUUGGAUUUGCUUCAGAGAGAGAUCAGAAUAGGCAUGGUUAAAAAUAGUGAGAAUAUAUAGGAUUGCUGCAAGGCCUAGCUCCAAGCUUGAGCAGUAUGAGGGGUGCCCUGUCGCACAUGGCUCGUUUGUUAAAUACAAGCUUGACAAAUAAGAUAAUCAUUAUAAUAAAUAAAAUAUCUUCUGUGUUCCACAAUUUUUCAUGUUCCCUGGAGUUAAGGGUUAUUGUGGAAAGCUUUUUUCACAUCUUUUUGUAUAUUCCCUGCCAUUAUUGUGUUACUCUGAUGAUUUAAUUUAUCCUCCUCCGAGGAUUCUUACUACUUUGUGCGUGUCAAUCCUCCAUUGGACGUUCUUCUGGUUGCUAUCAAUGAAGGAUCUUGGUGGAUUUUGAACAUUGUUUUCUUUUGAAAGUCGUGUUUGUGGAGAAUUGUGUUGAAUGGUGUCGUGUUAGAUGGAAUAACCUUAAACUCUUUUCCUUUUAUUUUACAGAUGGAACUUUCCAGAGAUUUUUCAUGAUUUCUUAUUUAGAUGAGGAAAUACUGGUAUGUUACUUUCUCUACUCAUUAUGCAAGGGCUGAUAUUUUAAUUUUAGCUCAUGUAUGUUUCUAAAAUUAUCAAGGCAAACCAAAGAAAUCUUUUUUUUUUUUUUUUUUUUUUUUUUUUUUUUUUGAGAGAGAGAUAGGUAGCAUGCUACCUACUUUGUUCAGUUUUUUAAAAAAUGAACUCAGCUGGAAAUGUGAAGCAGCUAGGCUUCGAAUUUGGGAUCUUGGGUACUAACCAUCAAGCCAUUUGCUAUUUGCUCUAAGGACAAUCGAUAAGUGAAGGAAUCUUAGUUCUGAGACGAAUUGCGUUUAAAAAACUAUACAAUUAGGCUUCGGUUCUUAUUAGAUUAGGGUAUACUAGUUAAAUUGAGAAUUCAUGCCUAUUAUAUUAGGGCUAAUUUUUAGUAUUGUUUUAAAUUGGAGAUUCCUUUUCAGAUUAUGGGGUAUUGGAUUGAUAUAAUUGUAAUUUUGAAUGAAAAUCAAGUUUGUUGAGAGUAAAAAUAUUGGUCUGGCCAUCAACUAGCAUAAUGCCAAGGAAAUUCACCAUCUAGCUGUAGGCUAGAUCUUGGGUAUUUCUACAGAAGUUAUACUCCUGAUCAUUUCAGAGGGAAUUCGUUUUCAAGAAUUUAAGUGUUUACCUACCUUCAUGAUGGAUGGCAAAAUUAUAAAAGGAAGUGCCUUCUUCCCUUGGAAUUAGGAAACAUUUGAUAUGUGCAUUAAUUCUAAUCAAACAGCCACUUUUGGUAUCAACUAGCUAGUCCGUAAUCAGUGGCGGAUCUAUAGCCACCUCAGCGACCCCACUGAGGUAGCCAAAGAAAGGCCUUUAUGGCCUUUCUUUUGUCAUGUUGGCCCCACUUUGGGGUCAACUUUGAUCCUAAAGUGCGGUCAACAAGUAGGAUAAUUUAUUUACUAUUUACUUUUUUAAUUAUAAUUUCUUUUUGUUUCGGAAUAGUAGUUGGUUUGUGAUGUUACAAUAUGAAAAAAUAUCCUUAGUAUAUUAAUUAUUUUUAAUUAGUCGUAUUUGGUUAUUUUAAUAUAUAAAUAGUGGUUGUUUUGAUGUGUUACAAUAUAUAAAAAUAUAUUUAGUAUAUUAAUUAACUUUAGUUAGUUGUAUUUUGUGAAACGUAAUUAUUGAUUUAUUUUUCUAUUCUUGUUGGCUAUUGCCUAUUGGCAUAUGAUUAAUUUUAUGUGGUUUAUAAGAAAUUAUUUUAUUUAUCACUAAUUUUUGCUAAUACAUAUAUAAAAAAAAGAUUUGAGGGUGUUACGAAUAAGGCUAUCAUACAUUGUUUCCAGAAUAUGAAAAUAAGUUGAGAAUAACCGUAAAUAGCAAUGAUAUAUAUUUUUUGUUUAUACAUUAUUUGUCACGCUCCAGGACCGCCAGUUUGGCCGGUUCGGGCGCGUCGAACAGACGCCGGACGGACAGCACCUCCCCUGUCCGCCCAAGGCUCAAAACAAACAAGAUCAUGCAUACAAGUUGCCCAGAAAAAACUUGACAUCCAUACAUGAUCAAUGCAAGCGAGAAACGAGAGCACAACCAGUGCUAAACAUAUAAGAGCAAGCAUCACAAAUAUAAAUAAGUGAACGAAAGAGAGAUUUCUAACUAUUACAUCCAUUCAACCCUUUUUACAUUGCAUUGAUUUACAUUUUAAGCUUUCAAAACAUAAACAUAAAGUUUAUAAUCUUUCCAAAACACCUCACCAGCUAUACAUCAUCUACGCUCACAUACAAAAGGUAGCUCUAAUGCAUAAUGGAAAGUCACUACACUAGGGCGCUACGCCCUUACCGCGAUUAUCUGCCGGUCCGCUCACGUGUGUACCUGUACCCCAAAACCACACGGGGUGAGAACUAUAAAAAUGUAGUUCCCAGUGGGUUCGGCCGCCGACUCUGCCGAUCUUCCCACUAGGUCUAAGCUGGUAUAGAUAGAUAGAUAGAUAGAUAGAUAGAUAGAAAUGAAACUGCAACUAUGCUCUACUAUGCCAUCAAAUGCAAACAAUGCAUGGAAUAUCAUCUAGCAACAAGCCUACUAUCAUGCUAGCAUGCUUCAACGAUGUAAUGAAUACAAAUACGACACAGUUAUGCAAUCCACUAAUAUAUACUAUGUCUAAUCAGGGUAUGAAUGCAAAUCCACUUAUGCUAUUCAUGUCAUUACCCAAUCCACUAGGCUACCCCGCCUAAGAUCUCAAAUCUCAUAGGUACUUACACCACAAUCUAGUAGGUGAAGAGGUGAAGAGCUACCCCGCUCUUCGCCCCGACUGAUAUCUCACAUCUCAUAGGUGAAGAGCUACCCCGCUCUUAUCUCACCCGUCUCACAUCUCAAAGGUCAUAGAUGAAGAGCUACCCCGCUCUAAUCUCAUAGAUAAUGAGCUGCCCCGCUUAAUCUCAUAGGGGAAAGGCUACCCUGCCCUUCACCCCAACUCACGUCCUAGUCCAAUGGUUGAGGAGCUACCCCGCUCGUAUCCCACCCGAUGAGCUACCCUGCUCGUGUGACAACUCCGGAGUGCACUGCUUGUGUGGAGCGACCACCACAAGCUCAAAACAGACUAUGUGAGUAUGAUCCAAUCCGCGCCAAUUGAGGAUAUCCUGUCAACUAGGUUAACAAACACUCGAAAGUCCACCUAUCCCUAGGUCCAUGUCAAGUGUCUCAACCAUACUAAUUAAAUCACACUAGGGAAUCCAACUAUCCCUAAGUUCAAUGCUGUAGUAUACAAUUAUCAUGCAAUGUAUCAUAACUAGGGAAACUCAACUAAUCCCUAUGUUCCAUGCCAUGUGUUUCUUUACACUAUGUUCAAGUACCACUCAUCUAGGUAUUAUUAACUCUAGGUUCAACAAUCCUAGGUUCACAUCCGACCUAUGUUUUAAUAACACUAGGUUCAUAUGCCACCUGUGUUCUCUAAACUAGGUUUUCAUGCAAUAUGCCACAACUAGGUUCCGAUGCCACUCGUCAUGUAUUUAACAUUAUCUACAUGCCACUCGUCCAAGUUAUAAAUGUUUUCUAUACAUUAGUUCACAUGUCACUAGUUUUCAUCAUCAAGUCCAAGUUCUCUAUUCUCUUAUCAUCAUAGGAUCUCAUGUCACAAUCCUAAUCUUCAUGCAUUCUAGAUUUAGGUGUCAAGUCAAUAAUACUACACAACUAGAUAUGCAUGCAAGGAAAGUAGAAAUGUAAUAAUACAUACAUCCUACAAUGCAUAAAAACCAUAUGUGCUAUAUGACCAUAAAUCUAACUCGGACAUAGAAGGAAGCCCGAUUGCUUCGGAUGGACACCCCCCACCUUUAGGUGAUGCCACGAGCCCACGAUUCCGAUUUCGCGAUUUUAGGAAGCUUUCGCCGCGAGCUGCGGCAAUCUAUACCUCAACAAGCCUUUUCUUCAAUAUCUUUGCACCCGCUCGACGAAUCGACGAACCGAUUUCGCCAGCGCGUCGGAAUACCUAGCAAUUAGGUUUACAAUCACUCAAUUUAGAUCAUAACCCUAGAUUUCCCAAAACCUCAUUUUGGAGCCCUAGGUGUUCAGCAAUGCAAGAAUACCUCAAACAAGGUCUUGAAUCAUGCAAUUAACACCUAUUUAACAUCCUAGGGUUCAUCUAAAACCAUCUUUAUAGUAUAAGAGUCUAAUCCUAGAGAUUCCCCAUAAUUGAGCUUAGAAGCUUACCGCUCCAAGCUUGCUACUAGCCAAGGAAGGAGAAGAAGAAGAAGAAAUCCCUUCUCUUGAUCUUGAUCUCCACCAAAAUCCUCUCCUCCAACACCUUCUAGAGAGAGGAAGAGCACUUAGAGAGAGAGAGGGAGAUGCUUUUGGUUGCAAAUGAGAGAGAGAAGGAGAGAAAAGAGCCCAAACUCUCUUCUAUACACUCAGCACAUUUGCACAAAGGCCUCUCAACAAAGUAAGUGUUGCACAGCCCAAACUGGGCCAUUUUCGGGUGCUGGGACCGGUCCCAGGUAGUGAGAGACCGGUCCCCGAAGGUCCAGAAAAACAGCAUUCCAGACUUAGCCAAAUUUUCAGCUUUUUCAGCUUUCGGAGUCCGUUUUUGCUCGUUUUUGCUCGUUUGACCUCCGAUUCUUUUCAAAUCGAACCGAGACUCUCCAAACAUGUUUUCAAGCGUGUUUUCAUCAUCUUUUCAUCCACGCUAAUGCCGGAUUUAGUUCACGGACUGACAUAGCCUUUCGGGUCCCGUUUGCGCGCCUACGCGCACCAAAACGCCCGAAAGCUUCCGAACUUCACCGAACUUCACCGGGACGAUUCAAAUGGCUUUCCAACCAAAUGUAUAUCGUAACCUCAUGACUUUAGAAGUCCGGUACCUUACAUCCUCCCCUCCUUAAAAGGAGUUUCGUCCUCGAAACUAACUCACUUCAAACCCAGUUCACACCUCAACUCGACGUAUUGAGCAACAUAGGGUUCCAAUGCACUUUUCUAUCUCGGAGUGGCCUUUUACUUAUUGGAAUCGUCCAAAGGCCCACUAAGGAGGAUGUGAGCCUAGAUUUACUCACAUUUGCUAAACGUAACUCCGAAAGUGCAUUACGGGCCUCCGACAUUCUUGGUGGUAGCGCAAGUCGAAACUCAACGACUCUGCGCGCUCCAACACCAUUCACCCUCUGGCAUGCAAGGACUCUUCUUUGCAUUUACCUUCCCCCUUCAGGGCAUUCUGAUUCGAUCACCAACAUUGCUUAACAGCAAUAUGAUUGGUGCAUCACCCAACCACGAGUGUUCUAACCACAUUCGGACCUUCCUCUACUGCGAGAUGGCCUACCCCGGCAUAUCUCAACUCUUAAUCCACAAGAGAGCAUUGUCCACAAUUCCAUGUGGCUAUCCGGUAUUCAAGUGUCUCCAAGAGACCACUUUCCCUUAUCUCUCAAUUGCCACUUCUAAUCUCAAAUCGCUCUACUACGAGAUGGCCUACCCCGGCACAUCUCUCGAACCUCAAUCCACGAAGAGCAGUAUCCUCAAGCUCUCGAACUCCUCCAACAUAACCUAGCCUGCUUGGGCAAGUUUUACACUCGGGGACCGGUCUCUCCUGCUAGGGGACCGGUUGCCCCGCGCUGCGCAACCCUCAGCCUCGGGGCAACCGGUCCCUCCCUCCUGGGACCGGUCCCCGAGAGCAAGCUUGCGCAGACAACGUUCGGGAACCGGUCCCUUCCGUCAGGGACCGGUCCCCGAGAGCAAAUUUGCCAAGUGCAGAUUCUUGCACUAUUUGCUCUCGCGGACUCCAUUCCAAAGCACUCUUGGUGCAUCUGACUUCUUCGGCUUUUCCGAAGCACUCCCCCUGACAAUUGGUCGACUUUGAGCGAAGUCCAACUUUCGUAUUUCGAGAAUUCACUUCCUUACUCCAACUCAUCCACAGAGUCAUCGGCUGAACUGAUUACGUCGGCUUCCACAAGUGGACCAACCGUCACAAAUACUACGUAGGCCUAGCGCCUAAACCUGUCGCAACUAUGCAUAGCGUCUCUCGCUCGGAUCGUAGACCCAAUCAUCAUUGGGCGAAAUUCUCAUUGGAGAAUUCGCACGCACUCCGAACAGGAGCAACCAUGACCCCAAAUCACGUCAAGUCCUCGAGUUGGGUCAUAAUCAAACUCUCGGUAUCUCAUCGAUCUCGCGAUCCAACACGUGGCAUUCCACGUUCCCGGGUCUGAGCUCGGACUACCGUCCUGACCAAAAUUCUGCCCUACCCGUAGGUACCGGGCCGCUAUCACUCACCGCUAACUGCGCCUGCCCAAAGGGCCUAGGCUCUACAAAUGGUCCAGGCACGGAUCGUCCCCAAGCGAUACCCACCGUCGUCGUCCUACACGACACUCUAUCGAGCUAUAAGUACCACUAUCGGCUCCUAAGCACCUAGUGCGAGCCGCUAGACUAACGAGUUCCAUGGCUCGCUUCACACUUAGUAAUGCUGACGUGCUACUGCCAUCACACUCUCUCGGCUGAAUCAAAUCCGCACUCUACGAGUAUCUACACUCGAGCGCUCUAUACGCCGUACUCUAAGUCCAGCAUUAGGCAACCCUGCCUAUGCACACCGGCCACACUGGCACGAUUCGCCCACCUCAAUUCGAGGCACUACUAGGCCCACGUGCCUAUACUUGGCCACUAACCGAUCGCUCUACCACGAGUCUCACUUUUCGUCCAACAAUCAUCACCAGUAUUUUGCUAGUGCUAUCUAGCUCUCUACCUCCUCCAGCAGGCGUUACACUCACCACAUAAGCAUGCUCGGGUAUCUACACCAACCCGUUCACUUGGUCCCUACUAUACCAAUGCACAAAUAGUAGCGAACGACCACAAGGUAAAUGCAUGCAAUUUCUUAAGUCUACAUCAUGCAGAAGCGUAUGAUUUUGCUUUAAUUAACUCAUACCUGGCACGAUGUCACGCUCCUCGACCCCAGCAAGUCGCUCCGCUUGAGCGGCAAACACUCGACUACUCGGAGCCGACCGGGUCACCUCAAGCUGAUGUGGCGCCAUCGCACGUCUCGUGGAUACGGCAGCAGGCGGAACCCCACCAAACUGCCUCGGAGCCGCCGUGGCGGAUGCUGCAGUCGGGGUAGGCGACAAUCCCUCUAGGCACUGACGGCUAAUAUGCCCCGCCUGACCACACCUGAAGCACCGUCCUGCCUUAUGCUUACAGUUCCCUACGCGAUGCUCCCCACCGCAGAUUACACAUCGCAGGGGUCCCUCGCUCUCAGACUGCCUACUCGGGUACUAUGGGGGCUUCUUGGAACUUGACUGUCCCCCCGAGCUACCGCCAGGUCGUUUCUUCCCCUUGUCAUUCUCUGACGCCUCGCGCUCCUCUCGCACGUGGGCAUCACCAUGCUCCGCCCACAAUGCUCGAUCACAAAACUCAGCAAAGGUCGUGAGCUUGAAUAUUGCACGGCCUUAUAAAUCCCCGGCCGAAGUCCUCGCAAGAACCAGUUGGCCCGGUCCCGGUCAUCUCGAACAACCUCCGGGACACAAUCUAUGAUGUGGGAGAACUCUUGCUCGUAGUCCGCUACCGAGCGAUCCCCUUGCCUCAACUUGCGAAACUUCUCCUGCAGUUUUCGCUUCACCGUGUCGGGGAAGUAAUUUGCGAACAUCGCCCUCUUAAACUCCUCCCAUAACAUAGGUGGAAGGUCAGAAGGCCGAUCUGGCUUCACCCGCUUCCACCACACCUUCGCCGCUUUCCCAAGGCAAUGGGUGGCGAGAUACACCUUGUCUUUCUCCGAGGUAUAGAGAUCCUCAAAAAGUGUCUCCAUUGAGUCAAUCCAUGACUCCACCAUCGACAGCUCCACUUUCUCCCCUUCAAAGAUUGGUGGGUUGAACUUUUUGAAUCUGAUAAGAGCCGUCAACGAACGCUCUCGCUCCAUCUCCUCGGCCGCAGCAUCGUGUAUUGCCGAACUUGAAGCUGCCGGAGGAACACUUGCUGGCGGGGGAUGCGCCGCCGCCGGAGCUGCCGCAAUGCCCACACCCUCAGCCGCAUUAGGCGCGCGAGCCGAGGGCAUGGGUGGACCACGGCCUUAAACUGCCGUCGCGGUCGCCGCCGCCACCUGCCGCUCCAAAAGUUCCUGGAGCCGCUCGACCUGACUGGUUAGCGCGGUAACUUGCGCUCGUAACUCCUGCACCUCACUAGGCCCAGCAGGCUCCGGCGCCACCGGAGGUCCAGCCUGCUUUGGCACCACGGGAGGUGGUGCCGGAAUGGAUCUACGCACGUAGUGUCUCCUUGGUGCCAUUGGCUCCUGAAACACAACAACUUGGUUAAUCACCUUAACCCGCUAACUCCGCCACAAUUGCGAAACAACGCCACUCAAUAGCGCAAAUCAGGCGGAAGCACACAAGUGUACUUGUUCUAAACCCUUAGCGUUGUGUUGUCGGCCGCCCAACACAACCACUUCAAGCCAAGAACUCAUACCACUUGAAUCCAUCUCUAACACCCAUUAGAGACAUACUAUCAACUUCGACCCAAUCGAUCAACUUCUGCCACCCGUAUAGGUUCACGUCUCACUCACGCGCCUAUAACCCUAAGGUUUACCAUCCUAGGGUCUCCUAUGUCCACCCUAGACUCUCUCUUUACUUGUUCUUAAUUUGCUUUGAUACCAUUUUAUCUGUCACGCCCCAGAACCGCCAGUUUGGCCGGUUCAGGCGCGUCGAACAGACGCCGGACGGACAGCACCUUACCUAUCCGCCCAAGGCUCAAAGUCUCAAACAAACAAGAUCAUGCAUACAAGUUGCCCAGGAAAAACUUGACAUACAUACAUGAUCAAUGCAAGCGAGUAACGAGACCACAACCAGUGCUAAACAUAUAAGAGCAAGCAUCACAAAUAUAAAUAAGUGAACGAAAGAGAGAUUUCUAACUAUUACAUCCAUUCAACCCUUUUUACAUUGCAUUGAUUUACAUUUUAAGCUUUCAAAACAUAAACAUAAAGUUUAUAAUCUUUCCAAAACACCUCACCAGCUAUACAUCAUCUACGCUCACAUACAAAAGGUAGCUCUAAUGCAUAAUGGAAAGUCACUACACUAGGGCGCUACGCCCUUACCGCGAUUAUCUGCCGGUCCGCUCACGUGUGUACCUGUACCCCAAAACCACACGGGGUGAGAACUAUAAAAAUAUAGUUCCCAGUGGGUUCGGCCGCCGACUCUGCCGAUCUUCCCACUAGGUCUAAGCUGGUAUAGAUAGAUAGAUAGAUAGAUAGAUAGAUAGAAAUGAAACUGCAACUAUGCUCUACUAUGCCAUCAAAUGCAAACAAUGCAUGGAAUAUCAUCUAGCAACAAGCCUACUAUCAUGCUAGCAUGCUUCAACGAUGUAAUGAAUACAAAUACGACACAGUUAUGCAAUCCACUAAUAUAUACUAUGUCUAAUCAGGGUAUGAAUGCAAAUCCACUUAUGCUAUUCAUGUCAUUACCCAAUCCGCUAGGCUACCUCGCCUAAGAUCUCAAAUCUCAUAGGUACUCACACCACAAUCUAGUAGGUGAAGAGGUGAAGAGCUACCCCGCUCUUCGCCCCGACUGAUUUCUCACAUCUCAUAGGUGAGGAGCUACCCCGCUCUUAUCUCACCCGUCUCACAUCUCAAAGGUUAUAGAUGAAGAGCUGCCCCGCUCUAAUCUCAUAGAUAAUGAGCUGCCCCGCUCAAUCUCAUAGGGGAAAGGCUACUCCGCCCUUUACCCCAACUCACGUCCUAGUCCAAUAGGUGAGGAGCUACCCCGCUCGUAUCCCACCCGAUGAGCUACCCCGCUGGUGUGACAACUUCGGAGUGCACUGCUUGUGUGGAGCGACCACCACAAGCUCAAAACAGACUAUGUGAGUAUGUUCCAAUUCUCGCCAAUUGAGGAUACUCUGUCAACUAGGUUAACAAACACUCGAAAGUCCACCUAUCCCUAGGUCCAUGUUAAGUGUCUUAACCAUACUAAUUAAAUCACACUAGGGAAUCCAACUAUCCCUAAGUUCAAUGCCGUAGUAUACAAUUAUCAUGCAAUGUAUCAUAACUAAGGAAACUCAACUAAUCCCUAUGUUCCACGCCAAGUGUUUCUUUACACUAUGUUCCAAGUACCACUCAUCUAGGUAUUAUUAACUCUAGGUUCAACAAUCCUAGGUUUACAUCCGACCUAUGUUUUAAUAACACUAGGUUCAUAUGCCACCUGUGUUCUCUAAACUAGGUUUUCAUGCAAUAUGCCACAACUAGGUUCCGAUGCCACUCGUCAUGUAUUUAACAUUAUCUACAUGCCACUCGUCCAAGUUAUAAAUGUUUUCUAUACAUUAGUUCACAUGUCACUAGUUUUCAUUAUCAAGUCCAAGUUCUCUAUUCUCUUAUCAUCAUAGGAUCUCAUGUCACAAUCCUAAUCCUCAUGCAUUCUAGAUUUAGGUGUCAAGUCCAUAAUACUACACAACUAGACAUGCAUGCAAGGAAAUUAGAAAUGUAAUAAUACAUACAUCCUACAAUGCAUAAGAACCAUAUGUGCAAUAUGACCAAAAAUCUAACUCGGACAUAGAAGGAAGCCCGAUUGCUUCGGAUGGACACCCCCCACCUUUAGGUGAUGCCACGAGCCCACGAUUCCGAUUUCGCGAUUUUAGGAAGCUUUCGCCGCGAGCUGCGGCAAUCUGUACCUCAACAAGCCUUUUCUUCAAUAUCUUUGCACCCGCUCGACGAAUCAACGAACCGAUUUCGCCAACGCGUCGGAAUACUUAGCAAUUAGGUUUACAACCACUCAAUUUAGAUCAUAACCCUAGAUUUCCCAAAACCCUAUUUUGGAGUCCUAGGUGUUCAACAAUGCAAGAAUACCUCAAACAAGGUCUUGAAUCAUGCAAUUAACACCUAUUUAACAUCCUAGGGUUCAUCUAAAACCAUCUUUAUAGUAUAAGAGUCUAAUCCUAGAUAUUCCCCAUGAUUGAGCUUAGAAGCUUACCUCUCCAAGCUUGCUAGUAGCCAAGGAAGGAGAAGAAGAAGAAGAAAUCCCUUCUCUUGAUCUUGAUCUCCGCCAAAAUCCUCUCCUCCAACACCUUCUAGAGAGAGGAAGAGCACUUAGAGUGUCACGCCCCGCCCCGAAACCACUACCUAUUUGGCACGGUUCGGCCGCGGCUGCGGAUUGCCGAGCGGAUUGCCGAAUGGAUAGCACCUCCCCUGUCCGCCCAAGGCUCAACAACAGGAAUGUGUACAGGAAUUUACCGAGGAAAUUAAAUUCUAAACAUACACAUUCACAAGGGCACAAACAGUGCCAACGAUACAAAGAGCAAGUAAUCCACAAGAUAAAGUAUGUGAUAUAAAGAGAGUACUUUACUAUCUAUUACAAUAGUUUCAUCAUUUCUUUAAAUGAAUACAUAUUUCAUCUCAAAAUGCAUAGCUCUCCAAGUCCUCACCUACAAUGAUUCUCUCAAAUACAUAGGUGUACUAAUGCAAAAAGGAAAGCUACUAUACUACCACGGUCUCAUUGGUCGGGCGCGAUGCCCUUGCCGCGGUCCUCUCUCGACAGCCCUGUACCUACCACUGGAAAUAGAGUGGGGUGAGAACUAUCUUCCAUAGUUCCCAGUGGACUCGGCCGCCGACUCUACAGAUCUCCCCACUAGGUCCAAGUGGGCACAAGUAACAACAGAUAGAUAGAUAUGUAUCUGAAAACUGUAAAUGCGAUAGUAGGAAAAAACUAUGCUACUAUGCCCAUAAUCAUGAAUAUGAAUGCAUGCAUCAUAUAAUAAAGGUUUGCUACCAUGCUAACAAAUUCGAUUCAUGUUCGAAUAGCAAUGCUCAAUGACAUUAUUAAACCUUUAACUUUAACGUUUACUCAAUCUGUGGCGAGGCCCUAGGGCUCGCCUAUAACUCACCUUUCAAUCCCAAAGUGGGGAGGGAGCUCCAAGUGCACCCAAGCCCGGGAUCGUCUGCGGACCUCCAUGUGGUCCGGACCUCCAGGUGGUCCUAGUCGCGCGACACUCUGGAGUACUCGACGACAAUCCCUUCCAUGUGGGGAUAGGAUGGCUAUACCACCCCAAACGCAGACUGUGAGCUAGAUCUAUCAUCUUCAAGUGAGGAUGCCCUAUCACUAGGGUCCACAACCCAAUCAAAUCCCCUCCAAGUGAGGAAGCCCUACCACUAGGGUCAAUGUCUCAAUCGACUCAUCGACAACCUCUCCUCUCCACGUGAGGCUACUUAGGUUUACUAAGUUCUUGUUCACAAGGCAUUUCUAAGGGAUCCACCUACCCUAGGUUCUCAAACCUCUAGUGUCAUUUAUACUACAUUAAUGCUACUCGUCAUCAUUUAACUUUUGGAUGUCACUCGUGUGUUCUUUUACAUUAGACACUACUUUCUAUGUCAUCAAUACUCCCAUCGGGUUAAUCUCUUUUCUUUUGCAUUAUAGGAUCCACGUUCCGACCCAAUCCUCACCUAUCUAAGUCACCAAGUGUUCCAAGUACACUAGGUUAUCAAUUAGAGAGCAUAAGGAAUGGUACUACUAUGCAAUCCUACAAUGCAACAUGUAAGAGAUGAAGAUUAAAUGCAAGCUAAGACAUAGAAAGGAGUUCGAAAGCUUCGGGAUAGCACUCCCCACCUUUAAUCGAUGUAGAGGCUUCGAAAACCCUUCUCGGCGAACUUUACGAAAAGGCUUUAGCCUUCCUUGCCCAAGUCAAUACUAACCCUGUAAGGUACCGGACUUCUAAAAUCAUGAAGUUAUGGUUUAUGUGAGGUUAGAAAGCCAUUCGAAUGGUUCCGGUGAAGUUUGGUGAAGUUCGGAGGCAUUCGGGCGUUUCGGUGUGCAUAGGUGCGGAAACGGGACCCGAAAGGCUAUGUUGGGCCGUGAGCUAAAUCCGGCAUUAUCGUGGAUGGAAAGAUGAUGAAAACAUGCUCGAAAACAUAUUUGGAGAGUCUCGGUUCGAUUUGAAACGAAUCGGAGGUCAAACGAGCGAAAACGAACGAAAACGGGCGAAAAUGCUGAAAAUUUGGCUAAGUCCUUGAGGCUACGUUCUGGACCUUCGGGGACCGGUCUCUCACCGCAAGGACCGGUCUCUCAGGGACCGGUCCCUCAUCGCAAGGACCGGUCCCCGAACGUGAAAAACGCCCAGUUUGAGCUGAUGCGAGGUUAGAAGAGUUGGGGGGCUUAUUUGGAAAUGUUACAAUAUGAGAGGGGGUUAAGAGAGGACUCUCUUUCUCUCUUUCUCUCAUUCCCUCACUCUCUCUCAUGUUUCUCUCUCUCUCUCUCUAAACGAAAGAAAAAGAAGAAGGGGAGAAAGAAGAGAAGAAGAAAAAGAAGAAGAGGAAGGAGAAGAAGGAGAAGAAGAUCAAGAAGGAGAUCAACUCCACCUUCUCUCCCUCCUUGCCUUUGGAGCAUCUUGAGAGGUAAGCCCUUAGCCCUCUCAUGGUAGAUCUCUAUAGAUAGGUCUAAAUGCUCUAGAAGUGAAUUUAGUAGGCUCCUUUGAUGCUAGAUAGAUGUUUAUUGCAUGAAUCGGAGAUCGAUUUGGGGCAUUUUGCAAUAGUAGCAUCUAGGUCAUGAGUAGACCUAGAAUCAAAUAGAUCGAGUGGCAUCCAACCUAGUGUUAAUAAACAUAGGUCGGACAUAGUGAUGUGGAACCUAGAGUUUUAUAACCUAGGCUGUGGAAUAGUAAACCUAGAGGGGCAUUGAACCUAGGUUGUUGAGUAUAGUGGUAGCAACCACUAGGAUGUUUUAGGUCGACAGCAUAGGGUUGGCUAUGGACCCUCGACCUGUGGAAGUGGAUUCCGGAAAUCCCAGGACUUGUGCUAUGCUAACCUUGGUAUCAAGGCUAGGGCGUGUGCGACGAUUUCGCCGCCGAGGUUGAUACCAAGGAUGGAUUGGCAGGUGAGUGCGCCGAGAUCACCGCCCGGGGCUUGAACCAUUGACGUGGCGUGUGCGACGAUUUCGCCGCCGGGGUUAUACCAGGUUUGGGGGUGAGUGCGCCGAGAUCACCGCCCGGGGCUUGAACCAUCGACGUGGCGUGUGCGACGAUUUCGCCGCCGGAUGGUUAAGCCAGUUUGUGGAUUAUGCUGCCUGAUCGACUUGAGCCAUUGUUGGGUGAGGUGCGAUUCGUUCGCCGCCAGAUGGCCAAAUCAAGGGACUUGAACCAGUGUUCGGCGUGUGCGACGAUUUCGCCGCCAGCUGGUUAAGUCACAGAGUGCGGCCAGUGCGCGGACUAUCCGCGGAUGAUUGACUCGAGGCCGAGUCGGGUGGUUAGCUUGAUUAGGUUAAUAGAAACCUUGAAAGCUAGUGAUAAAGGUAAGAACUAAGGUAAUAGAGACCUUAGAGGCAAAGUGAACUUGAGUUGUGAACUGAGGUAAUGGAAACCUUAGAGUAAAGAAAUGUGAGCUAAGGUGGCUAAGUAAAAGUAGAAUUCAAAUGAUCUACUAUAUAUUGCAUAGAGUUGCAUGACUUGCAUAUUGCAUAUUGUUAGGCCUAACAUGUAUUUCAAUUGAAUAUAUUUGCAUUGUAUAUCGUUGAACUAACAUGUUGCAGGGCCUACUUGGACCUUUUGGUCGAGCUUUUCCCUUGGGUGGCCGUACCCACUGGGAACCAUGGAGUUGGUUCUCACCCCACGUUGUUUUGGGGUUUUACAGGUUCGCACGUGAGCGGCGCGGCGGCGCGAGGAAAGGGCGUAGAUCCAUAGAUAGCGCCCUACCCGGAGACCAGAGCUAGCAGUACCCUGUCGACAUAGCUUAGGGGUAUGGGGUGUUAUUAAUGAAAAGAACACAAUGUAUCAACGUGUAAGUAAAUGAUGUAAUAACUUAGAUUGUAUGUGGAGGAAUCAAAUGAGAACUGUGAUUUAAAAAUGUAUGAAUGUGAAUGUAUGUAAUAACAUAGGAUGUGUUAUGUUGUUGAUACCUUCCUUAUGCAAUCUGGUUGUUGAAUACUGUUCCUAGUUGGAACCUUCGUAUUGUAUUGAUUGCGUUGCCUUGAAUGUACAGGGGAGACUCUGUUCGCAGUACAGGGGAAACCCUGUCCAUUCGGCGCUGUCGGCGACGCCGCGAACCUGACCAAAGAGGCGGGGGUCGCGGGUCGUGACAAACCCGACCCUAUUUUGCCGAGAACUUCACGCCGCUUCGCCGAAUGCCAAAACCGACUUCGCCCCCAUGUUUUGUGACCUAACAAUAGGGUUUCCAAGGCUUCAAAUGAGAUCAAUCUCAUACUUUCACAAAAACCCCAUUUUGGAGCCCUAGUUUUGCUCUCAUAGCAAACCACCAAUAAAUCCCUAGAUUUUUGGGAUUGAUCUUUUUAGAAGCAUGCUUAGGGUCCAUUUGACCCAUUCCAAGGCAUAAAAAUCCAAAACCCCAAAUUCUAGAAGCUAGGGUUCAAGAGCUUACCUCUUCUUCUCCUUUCCUUUCUAAAGAGAGAGAGAGAGAGAGAGCAAGAGAGAAAGAGAGAUAGAGAGGAAAUGAGAUCAGUGGGGCUGAGGGAGAGGGUUAUUUCCCAUAUACACCCCACAUAUGAUGGCCAUUUUGCACUUAAACCAUCAACUUUUCAUCUCUCACGCAGCUAUCACUAGGCUGUUUUCGCCCAGAGGGACCGGUCCCUGGUCGGGGAGACCGGUCCCCGAGAGCCCUCCCUGCAGCCUGGGGACUUUUCGCGUACGGGAACCGGUCCUCACCGGAGAGACCGGUCCCUGGGAGACCAGUCUUUCCUGAGAGACCGGUUCCCGAAAGGGGAACUUUCAGGACUAAGCCAAAUUUAGGCUUCCUCUCGCGGGUGUCGCACACGCGGACCGGUCCCCUCAGCCAGGGACCGGUCGCAUCGACCUCCCCCGCGACCCUCAGCUAUGGGGACCGGUCCUCCCUUCCAGGGACCGGUCCUCGAGAGCAAAAAUCUGCUGAGUCCAGAUUUUGCCUAUUCGCUCUCGCGCACUCAACUCCAAAGCACUUUUUGUGCUUUGGACAUCUCCAACUUCCCCAAAGGGUAUUCUCUCGACAAAUAGUCGAUCCUGGACGAAGUACAACUCUCGGAUUUCGAGAAUUCACUUCCUUACAUCCUCCCCUCCUUAAAAGGAGUUUCGUCUUCGAAACUAGCUCAAUUCUUAACUUUAACUUAAACCCAUACCUUACUCCUCGAAUAGAUGAGGAUGGUGUUUUCUCAUCAGAUCCUCGAGUUCCCAGGUGGCUUCGCGAUCCUCGUGAUUGCUCCACCUAACCUUCAUAUAGGGAAUUUCUCGAUUCCUUAACUUACGCACCUCUCGGGCGAUAAUCCCUACCGGAAACUCUUCAUAGCUCAAGUCUCUUUGAAGCUCCGGUGGCUCAUAUAGCAUCGCAUGCUCAGGGUCGUGAAUAUACUUGCGGAGAUUGGAGACAUGGAACACAUUGUGUACAUCCGCAAGCUUUGGCGGCAAGGCAAGUCGGUAGGCCACUGUGCCGACUCGCUCCAAUAUCUCAUAUGGUCCAAUAUAUCGGGGGCUCAAUUUUUCCCGCACUCCAAACCGCUUCACACCCCGCAUCGGUGAAACCUUCAAGAAUACGCGAUCGCCUACCGCGAAUUCUAUAUCUCGACUGCGCCGUGAGCAAUCUCUUGCGAGCAAGGCGGACUUUCUCCUCCGCUUCUCGUAAAACAUCGGGGCCGAACUCUGUACGCUCACCCACAUCGCUCCAGUGUAUAGGAGACCGACACGUCCGCCCAUAAAGAGCCUCGAACGGUGCCAUCUCCACACUAGCAUGAUAACUGUUGUUGUAGGCGAACUCGGCCAUCGGUAGGUGAUCACACCAACUUCCCUUAUAGUCGAUGACACACGCUCGCAACAUAUCCUCCAGAGUUUGAAUAGUUCUCUCUGUUUGCCCAUCGGUCUGAGGAUGAAAUGCGGUGCUAAAGUUGAGCUGUGUACCAAGGGCUUCCUGCAGGCUCUUCCAGAAGUGUGAAGUGAACCGGGGGUAUACCUGUGCAGUCUCACUAUCUCGUCAAGGUAUACCUGUGCUAACUUGUCACCCGACCACGUGGUGUGGAUCGGCAAGAAGUGAGCCGACUUUGUCAAUCGGUCCACAAUUACCCAAAUUGCAUCGUGGCCGCCGGUUGAGCGAGGCAAGCCGACUACGAAGUCCAUCGAUAUAUCCUCCCAUUUCCAAACGGGGAUUGGUAGGCUUUGAAGCUUUUCUGCUGGAAAUCGACGCUCGGCCUUCACUUGUUGGCAUGUUAAGCACUUCGCUACAAAGCGUCCAAUAUCACCUUUCAUUCCCGGCCACCAAUAGUGCAUUUUUAUUCCUUGAUACAGCUUGGUGCCGCCCGUGUCACGCCCCGCGACCGCUACCAAUUUGGCUCGGCCCGGGCACGUCGAACAGACGCCGGACGGACAGCACCUCCCCUGUCCGCCCAAGGCUAACAACGAGAUUGUGUACAACAAGUUCCCAGGAAAAUAACUUGAAUACAUACACAAUCGAUAAAUUACAACGAGAGCACAAUCAGUGCAAAACAACCAAGAGCAAGAUACAAGUAUAGAACAUACACGUAAUGAUAAAGAGAGAGCAUCUAUCUAUUACAUUCAUUCAGCCUUUAUAAUACAAUUCGAUUAUACAUUGAACUUCCAAAACAGAGUAUAAAGCUUAUAUCUUCCAAAAUACAACAUUAGCUUACAUUCAUUCCAGAAUAUCUCACAUCCUAUACAUCAUCUACUCUCAAAGCGUAAAAGGUGACUCUAAUGCAGAAAUAGGAAAGUAGACUAAUGCAACUAGGGCGCUAAGCCCUUACCGCGAUCCUCGCCGUGUGAACUCGCGCUCGGCCUUGCAGUAAAAUAGGGAUGAGAACUAACUUCCUUAGUUCCCAGUCGGUUCGGCCGCCGACUCCGCCGAUCUCUCCACUAGGUCCAAGCGGGCAAAAGUAGCUAAUCGAUAGAUAGAUAGAUAAGGAAAGUGGUAAAUGACAGAAGUAAAGCUACUCUACUAUGCCCAAUCAUAAUAUAUGAUGCAUGUACAAUGAAAUAGGUAAGCAGCUAACCUGUUAUCAUGUCCAAAGGUAAAGAUAUUCACUCGUUCGUUUAUCUCAUUUAUUCAUCAAUCUCAUGGCUUACCCGAAGGCGCGCCUACAGCUCACUAGCCAUCUCGAAGGUAGGGAGGGUCAACUCGCACUACGAACCGAGACCGUCUAGCGGGGCCAAAAUAGGCAAUCCCUUGGGACCCAAAAUAGGCGAUCCCACGUGACCAACAUUCGGAGCGCACUACUUGUGUGGAGCUUCCAUCACAAGAUUUAAAACAGACCGUGAGCAUGAUCCAAUCCUCAUUUCGAGAAUACCCUAUCCUCUAGGGUUACAAUCAUCAUGUAGUCCAUAGGUUUCAUAUACACUACGACUCACAUAUGUCACUCGUUCUUUUGUUUACUAUCAACUAGAUGCCAUUCGUUCUUUACAAGUUUCCAAUGCAAUAGCCAAUACAUUACUAAAUUCCCAUCCACACUUAUCAUCUCAUUAUAGGGUUCCACAUCACAUAUAUAAACCUCAAACAUGCUAGAUAUAAGUACUAGGCCAAAUACAUUAUUCUACCAAAGAACAUGCAAGGUAUUGAAUCAAACCAUCAUUUAUCACCCUAUAAUGCAAGAUGUCAAUACGCAAUUUGAUCAAUAUAAAACUUAGACAUAGAAGGGAGUCCGGUUGCUUCGGGAUGGACACCACCCACCUUUUAUCCCAUUCCGAUUGCUCGUCGUCACUCGCAAUCGGCCUCCUGCGGCACGCCGCAUGGCUCGACCCAACUCACGCGCGACUUCCAAAUGACCUCCUAUCCGCGAUCCGUCUGUUCUGGAGUUUAUUCCCCGACACCACGAUGCUACGAUUCCAUUUCCAUGAUUUUAGGAAGUUUUCGCCGCGAGCGCCGGCAAUUGUACAAAAAUCGGCUCUCUUCGAGAUUUAUGUAACGGCUCGACGGAUUGUCAACGUGCUUCCAGCGAUUCAGAGACUAUCAAUUAGUUUUAUACAACCGAAUUUAGAUCAAAUUAGUAUUUGCUAAUGAUUUUGGCCCGUAGAUUUGCUUAUGCAAAAUUCACUUAGCUUAGGAUUAAGACAAAAUUUAUUGUAUGCAGAAUAAUUAACCAUUCUUAGAGUUCAAACAACUAUAGUAAAGUACCAUUGUUGGCAUUAAAGCUUACUUAGAGCUUGUGCCAAAUGGCCUAAGGGAAGAAGAGAGAAGAUGAAGCCUUCUUCAGUUUGUCCUGUAUCACCUUCUUGCUUCAUUCUUAGAGAGAGAAAGAGAGGUUAUGUAGGAGGAAGGAGGUACGGUUGAGGGAAAUGAGAAACGGAGAUGAGAAGCAUCCUCUCUUUGUCUCUAAGUCAUUGACAUCCAAAAGCCCCUCACUCUUGCCUCAUCAAACGCAAAAUAGGCUUUUCGCAGCUCGGGGACGGUUGCGUGAUGAGACCGGUCCCGAGACCAGGAUUUAAGAUUUUAGCUAGCCAAAUUUCAGCCUUUUUCACCGUUUCUUCUCCGUUUUCGCCCGUUUUCGCUCGUUUGACCUCCGAUUCGUUUCAAAUCGAACCGAGACUCUUCAAACAUGUUUUCGAGCAUGUUUUCAUCAUCCUUUCAUCCACGCUAAUGCCGGAUUUAGCUCACGGCCCAACAUGGCCUUUCGGCUCCGUUUUAGCGCCUACGCACACCGAAACACCCGAAUGCUUCCGGACCUCACCGAACUUCACCGGAACCUUUCAAAUGGUCUUCCAACCAAAUGUACACCGUAACUUCAUGAUUUUAGAAGUCCGGUACCUUACAGCCCGGGUGAUCAGCAUAUGGAGAUCGGUGUGCUUCUUGUAAAAUCAAUUCACGAAGCUCUCCAUCUUUCGGCACACACCAUCGGUUUCGAAACCGAAGCGUACCAUCGGCGUCUACUUUAAAAUCGCCGCCAUGCCCUUCCUCGAUGUUUCGCCGCACCUUUUGGAGUUCUGGGUCUACGGGUUGCAGAUCUUUGAUCCUCUCCAAUAAGGUCGGUUGGACAACGAGUGUCAUCAACUGAGUCGGGACCUCGGGAGCGACCACUUCAAGGUCCAAUCGCUCCAUAUCCAGCCAUAGGGGUGCUUGCUGGGUAACAUCAAAAGCGAGGUUCUUCGCCGACUUCCUACUAAGUGCGUCCGCGACCACAUUUGCCUUCCCGGGGUGGUAGAGGAUAUCAACAUCAUAAUCCUUUACAGCUCCAACCACUGCCGCUGAUACAUGUUGAGUUCCUUCUGUGUAAACAGGUACUUCAAGCUCUUGUGGUCGGUAUAGAUCUCACAAUGGGCACCAUAUAAGUAGUGCCUCCACAGCUUCAAGGCGAAAAUCACCGCCGCUAGCUCCAAAUCAUGGAUGGGGUAGUUCUUUUCAUAGCUCUUUAGCUGACGGGAUGCAUAUGCAAUCACUUUCCCGUUUUGCAUUAACACACACCCCAAUCCAAGAUAGGAGUCAUCGCUGUAGACCACGAAGUCUUCGCCCUGCACCGGUAGAGCGAGCACCGGGGUCGAAGUCAAUCUCUGCUUCAACUCUUUAAAACUCCGGUCGCACUCUUCGCUCCAAACAAACUUGGUGCCUUUCUGAGUCAGGCGGGUAAGUGGAAUCACUAUCUUGGAAAUGCCUUCCACAAACCGCCUAUAGUAACCCGCCAAGCCCACGAAGCUUCUAACCUCCGUGACAUUCGUCGGGCGCGGCCAAUCCUUGAUUGCCUUAACUUUCCUCGGGUCUACAGAAACGCCAUUCGCGAAAAUCACUUGCCCUAAGAAGGCGACCUCGCGGAGCCAGAAGUCACACUUCUUCAGCUUAGCAUAUAGCUUCUCCCGAAGGACUUGAAGCACUAUUCUCAAAUGCUCGGCAUGUUCCUCGUCACUACGAGAAUAGACCAAUAUGUCGUCUAUGAAGACCACGACAAAUCGGUCCAAGUACUCUGAAGACACGGUUCAUUAAAUCCAUAAAUGCCGCUGGAGCAUUCGUGAGUCCAAAUGGCAUGACCGUGAAUUCGUAGUGUCCAUACCGCGUGCUGAACGCGGUCUUCUGCACAUCCUCCGGCUUGAUUUUCAGCUGGUGAUAGCCGGAUUGCAAAUCUAUCUUUGAGUACACACACGACCCUUGCAACUGAUCGAACAGGUCAUCGAUUCGGGAUAGUGGGUAUUUGUUCUUGAUCAUGACUCUGUUCAACUCUCGAUAAUCUACGCAGAGUCGAAACGAUCCAUCAUUCUUCCGUACAAACAACACCGGGGCUCCCCACGGUGAUACACUUGGCCGGAUAAAUUGCUUGUCGAGGAGGUCUUGCAGUUGACUCCUCAACUCCUUCAAUUCCGUUGGCGCCAUUCGGUAUGGAGCCUUCGAGAUCGGUGCGGUAUCGGGAACCAAGUCUAUGACAAACUCGAUCUCCCGAUCUGGUGGUAUCCCCGGCAACUCCGCAGGAAACACAUCCGGGAACUCCCGCACCACAGAUAACUCCUCUAACGUUGGAGCUACUCGUUCCACUUCCACAACAGUUGCCAAAAAUGCCGCACAACCGUUGCUCACCAACUUUCUUGCUCUUGUCGCCGACACCGUCGCGACGAAGCACGAGCUCUGACAAGCCCGAUAGGUAAACUCUUCCUGUCCUGGCUCACGGAAUGUGAUCACCCUGCUCUUGCAGUCGAUCGUUGCGUGAUAUUUCGAGAGCCAGUCCAUGCGCAGAAUGACGUCAUAAGCCUCAAGCUUUGUGAGUUCUAGUAUCCGGAUAGACAUAAUCCAGUCGCCUAUUUGUACGGGACACGACGCACACUCCGAGUAAGUGUUAAAUGUUGACCCAGGGCCCUCCACUCGCCACUUGUCACUCGUCUCUAUGAGUAUGUCAUGCAUGCGUGCGAAUGACCUACUUAUGAAUGAAUGCGUGGCUCCUGUAUCAAAUAAAGCCCUGGAGCGAACUUCGUUAAUUAAAACCAUACCUGCCACAAGGUGAUGCUCCUCUGCCUCCGCAGGUUUGCCUCGGCCUUGCACACAGCGCGAGACCGGGUGGUCUCCGCCCCAUACAAUGCAUCGUCGCGCUCCACUGCCCUUCUGUUGAGUGUGCGGAUACUUCGGGGGUUUCUUGUAACGUGUUUGUCCCCCCGAACUACCGCCACCUUGGCGUUUCUUGCCCUUGUCCUUGGACUCGGCCAAAAGCUCACGCUUCUCUCGAACAUGGGCAUCUCCGUGCUACGCUCAUAGGGCUCGAUCAAAGACCUCCGCAAAGGUCGUGAGCUUGAGUAUUUGCACGGCCUUGUAAAUUCCCGGCCGAAGUCCUCGCAAGAACCACUCGGCCCGGUCCCGGUCAUCCUUUACAACAUCCGGGACACAGUCGAUGAUAUGGGAGAAUUCUUGUUCAUACUCUGCCACUGAGCGGUCCCUUUGCUCCAACUUGCGGAAUUUCUCCUUGAGCUUCCGCUUCAAUGUAUCGGGGAAAUAGUUGGCGAACAUCUCCCGCUUGAAUUCCUCCCACAACAUUGGCGGAAGGCCGGGAAACCGAUCCCGUUUAACGCGCUUCCACCAAACCUUCGCUGCCUUCUCCAAGCAAUGGGCGGCGAGGUACACCUUAUUCCUCUCCAAGGUACACAGAUCAUCGAAGAGGGUUUCCAUCGAGUCGAUCCAGGACUCGACCAUCUCCGGUUCCACCUUCUCGCCCUCAAAGGUUGGCGGAUGGAACUUGUUGAACUUGAUAAGAGCCGCCAAUGCGCACUCUCCCUCCACGUCUUCGGCCGACACAUCGGGUGUAGCCGAUCCCGAUGCCACCUGUGGUACGAUCGCUGGCGGUGGGCGUGCCGUCACCGGAACCGCCGCUAUGCCCUCACCCUCUGCCGCUCCGGUUAUAUGAGUCGAGGGUGCGGGCGGGCCACCGCCCUCAUUCACCGUCGCAGCCGCCGCCGCAAUCUGCCGCUCCAAUAGAUCCUGGAGCCGCUCGAAUUGGGUCUCCUGGCGCUGCACCACGCUGGUCAGCGCGGUCACCUGUGCUUGCAACCGAUCGAUCACGCUCGGUUCCUCCUGCUCGGGCACCUCAGGAAUCGGUGCUGGGGCAGAUCUAUGCGUGUAGCGUCUUGGAGACAUUAGUCCCUGAAACGCAAUUACUUGGUCAGUCAUCUUAACCCAUUUACCUCGUCGAAAUUACGACACAUGACGACUCAACAACAAAAUCGGGCGGAAGCACACAAGUGUACUAAUUCUAGACUCUUAGUAUCAUGUCGUCGGCCGCCGACACAACCACCUCAAGACAAGAACUCAUACCACUUGAAUUCGUCUCUAAUCACAACUAGAGACAUAUUAUCAACUUCGACCCAAUCGAAUUAACUUCCGCCAUCGCUAUAGGUUUACGUUCCGCUCACGCACCUAUAACCUUAGGGCUUAUCAACAUAGGGUCUCCUAGGUCAUCCUAGACUUUCUCUCUUUACUUGCUCUCAUUGCUCUGAUACCACAAAGACUGUCACGCCCUGCCCCGAAAUCACUACCCAUUUAGCACGGUUCGGCCGCGGCGGCGGAUUGCCGAACGGACAGCACUUUCCCUGUCCGCCCAAGGCUCAACAACAGGAAUGUGUACAGGAAUUUACCCAGGAAAUUAAAUUCUAAACAUACACAUUCACAAGGGCACAAACAGUGCCAACGAUACAAAGAGCAAGUAAUCCACAAGAUAAAGCAUGUGAAAUAAAGAGAGUACUUUACUAUCUAUUACAAUAGUUUCAUCAUUUCUUUAAAUGAAUACAUAUUUCAUCUCAAAAUGCAUAGCUCUCCAAGUCCUCACCUACAAUGAUUCUCUCAAAUACAUAGGUGUACUAAUGCAAAAAGAAAAGCUACUAUACUACCACGAUCUUAUUGGUCGGGCGCGAUGCCCUUGCCGCGGUCCUCUCUCGACAGUCCUGUACUUACCACUGGAAAUAGAGUGGGGUAAGAACUAUCUUCCAUAGUUCCCAGUGGGCUCGGCCGCCGACUCUGCUGAUCUCCCUACUAGGUCCAAGUGGGCACAAGUAACAACAGAUAGAUAUGUAUCUGAAAACUGUAAAUGCCAUAGUAGGAAAACUAUGCUACUAUGCCCAUAAACAUGAAUAUGAAUGCAUGCAUCAUAUAAUAAAGAUUUGCUACCAUGCUAACAAAUUCGAUCCAUGUUCGAAUAGCAAUGCUCAAUAACAUUAUUAAACUUUUAACUUUUCCGUUUACCCAAUCUGUGGCGAGGCCCUAGGUCUCGCCUGUAACUCACUUUUCAAUCCCAAAGUGGGGAGGGAGCUCCAAGUGCACCCAAGCGCGGGACCGUCUGCGGACCUCCAUGUGGUCCGGACCUCCAAGUAGUCCUAGUCGUGCGACACUCCGGAGUGCUCGACGACAAUCUCCUCCAUGUGGGGAUAGGAUGGCUAUACCACCCCAAACGCAGACUGUGAGCUAGAUCUAUCAUCUCCAAGUGAGGAUGCCCUAUCACUAGGGUCCACAACCCAAUUAAAUCCCCUCCAAGUGAGGAAGCCCUACUACUAGGGUCAAUGUCUCAAUCGACUCAUCGACAACCUCUUCUCUCCACGUGAGGCUACUUAGGUUUACUAAGUUCUUAUUCACAAGGCAUUUCUAAGGGAUCCACCUACCCUAGGUUCUCAAACCUCUAGUGUCAUUUAUACUACAUUAAUGCUACUCGUCAUCAUUUAACUUUUGGAUGCCACUCGUGUGCUCUUUUACAUUAGACACUACUUUCUAUGUCAUCAAUACCCCCAUCGGAUUAAUCUCUUUUCUUUCGCAUUAUAGGAUCCACGUUCCGACCCAAUCCUCACCUAUCUAAGUCACCAAGCGUUCCAAGUACACUAGGUUAUCAAUUAGAGAGCAUAAGGAAUGGUACUACUAUGCAAUCCUACAAUGCAACAUGUAAGAGAUGAGGAUUAAAUGCAAGCUAAGACAUAGAAAGGAGUUCGAAAGCUUCGGGAUGGCACCCCCCACCUUUAAUCGAUGUAGAGGCUUCGGAAACCCUUCUCGGCGAACUUUACGAAAAGGCUUUAGCCUUCCUUGCCCAAGUCAAUACUAACCCGGCCUUAUUUUGCCGUGAACUUCACGCCGGUUCGCCGAAUGCCAAAACCGACUUCGCCCCCACGUUUUGUGACCUAAUAAUAGAGUUUCCAAGGCUUCAAAUGAGAUCAAUCUCAUACUUUCACAAAAAUCUCAUUUUGGAGCCCUAGGUUUGCACCCAUAGCAAACCACCAAUAAAUCCCUAGAUUUUUGGGAUUGAUCUUCUUAGAAGCAUGCUUAGGGUCCAUUUGACCCAUUCCAAGGCAUAAAAACCCAAAACCCUAAAUUCUAGAAGUUAGGGUUCAAGAGCUUACCUUUUGUGCUACACCAAAGAGAAGAGGAGAGGGAGAUGAAGGUGUCCAAAGCCUUCCUCUUGAUCUCCUUCUUCUUCUCCUUCCUUAUCUUCUUCUUUUCCUUCCUCUCCUUCUUGUUCUUCUUCUCCUUUCCUUUCUAGAGAGAGAGAGAGAGAGAGCAAGAGAGAGAGAGAGAGCAAGAGGAAAUGAGAUGAGUGGGGCUGAGGGAGAGGGUUAUUUCCCAUAUACACCCCUCACAUGAUGGCCAUUUUGUACUUAAACCCCUCAACUUUUCAUCUCUCACGCAGCUAUCACUGGGUUUUCGCCCAGAGGGAUCGGUCCCUGGUCGGGGAGACCGGUCCCCGAGAGCCCUCCCUGCAGCCUGAGGACUUUUCGCGUACGGGAACCGGUCCUCACCCGAGAGACCGGUCCCUGGGAGACCGGUCUUUCCUGAAAGACCGGUUCCCGAAAGGGGAACUUUCAGGACUUAGCCAAAUUUAGGCUUCCUCUCGCGAGUGUCGCACACGGGGACCGGUCUCCUCAGCCAGGGACCGGUCGCAUCGACCUCCCCCGCGACCGUCAGCUACGGGGACCGGUCCCUGGGGGACCGGUCCCCGAGAGCAAAAAUCUGCUGAGUCCAGAUUUUGCCUAUUCGCUCUCGCGGACUCAACUCCAAAGCACUUUUUGUGCUUUGGACAUCUCCAACUUCCCCAAAGGGUAUUCUCUCGACAAAUAGUCGAUCCUGGACGAAGUACAACUCUCGGAUUUCGAGAAUUCACUUCCUUACAAAGAGAGAGAGAGGGAGAUGCUUUUGGUUGCAAAUGAGAGAGAGAAGGAGAGAAAAGAGCCCAAACUCUCUUCUAUACACAGCACAUUUGCACAAAGGCCCCUCAACAAAGUAAGUGUUGCACAGCCCAAGCUGGGCCAUUUUCGAGUGCUGGGACCGGUCCCAGGCAGUGAGAGACCGGUCCCCGAAGGUCCAGAAAAACAGCAUUCCAGACUUAGCCAAAAUUUCAGCUUUUUCAGCUUUCGGGGUCCGUUUUUGCUCGUUUUUGCUCGUUUGACCUCCGAUUCUUUUCAAAUCGAACCGAGACUCUCCAAACAUGUUUUCAAGCGUGUUUUCAUCAUCUUUUCAUCCACGCUAAUGCCGGAUUUAGUCCACGGACCAACAUAGCCUUUCGGGUCCCGUUUCCGCGCCUACACGCACCAAAACACCCGAAAGCUUCCGAACUUCACCGAACUUCACCGGGACGAUUCAAAUGGCUUUCCAACCAAAUGUAUACCGUAACCUCAUGACUUUAGAAGUCCGGUACCUUACAUUAUUAAUGACUACUUUACUUUUCUAUUUCUUUAUCAUAUAUUUGACCCCACUAUGAAAAACUUUUGGAUCCGCCACUGUCCGUAAUGAUUAUAAUUCAUAAACUUAAUCAUCAAGCUUGCUUUAAGUUUGUCGAGUAGCUAUCAAACUCAUGACUUGAUGAUAAACUAUUAAACUAUCAUACUAUGGUAGCAUUCAUUUUAUGAUAGUUGUUUUUAGAGUACCUUUCACUAAGGCCUUGUUUGGCACUACUGCCGUUUGUUUGAUUCCCUAAACCCUAAACCCUAAACACUAAUUUUAUGUAGUUGGAUAUAUUAGGGGUAGUCCUUUCCUCUUGAUAUCAUAGCUAGUUUGGUAGCAAUACACCUUGGCUUGAUGAUGGAUGACGACAACUUUAAAAAAAUAAAAAAAUCCAAAGAAACAAAAAGAAAAAGUAGUUUCCAACUUUUUGGGGUCUCACAAUCUCCCCCUCUUUAAGCCCUGACGUUUCCGUCAGGCUUAGACUUACAAGUAUCAGGCGAUGUGAGACUCAUCUCGCUAGCCUAAACCGACCUUGUGGGGGAGCCGCGCUUUACCCACAACAGUCAACAGCACAAGAGCCUCGCUCUUCCCGCUGUAUCGGAUCCGAGCGGUCGGAUCUGGGGCGUGACAAGUUUGGUAGCAAUACACCUUGGCUUGAUGAUGGAUGACAACUUCUUUAAAAAAAUACAAAAAUCCAAAGAAACAAAAAGAAAAAGUAGUUUCCAACUUUUUUUCUAGUGGUUGCUAAAUAAUAAUCUUGGGUACAACAAUUGCAAAUGAUUACCACUCCUACUCUAUCUUAUGUAGAAAUUCUAUUUAAAAGAACAAGAAAAACAGCAACAAUGCUAAACGGAGGCCUAAGCAUAUAAAUCAUGUAUUUUUGAAUAGCAGACUUACUGUGUGUAUGCGUAUAAAAACCUUAUUUAGGUAGCAAAAACCACCUUGUUUUGAUAAAUAUAAUUGAGCCGUAUUACUUCACCGACAAAAUAAAAAGGCAGGUAAUGGUGGUUUUUCAUUUAUCCUUUUUGCUUAGAAAAGCAAGUUGAACCUCAAGGAAGUUUGUUGAUUUCAUGUCCUAUCAUAGUGGGAUUAAUUGAAAUGUUUGGACGUCGGAUAUUUAUUUAUGUUUUGACUCAAAGGAAUGAGAUGAUAUUUGUUAUUUAUGUUCCUAUUUUAUUCAAUUAUUUUAGUCAGCUAUUGAUCAUUUAUUUACGUAAUAUUAUGUUCCAACUUUAAUUUAGUUAUCCUAGUCAGCUUUUGACAACAUAUGCAAUGACUCUAAUUGUGGCAAACAACUUUUUAUAUA